rnacentral:lncRNA from 1 species
GAAAUUCUUUCUUAUUGAAUCGGAAAGAGAGAUAAUGUCUUGACUAACAUCACCAUCGCCUUCUAUCGGAGUUAAACCAUCUGGAAUAGUCUCAAAGGUAAAAUCAGUGAAACCAUCAAAGGCUUUUGGACCUCUUGAUUUGAGCAAACGUUUGUGAUUGUAUUCGGUGUUGACAAAGGUUAUGUGAAAGCCUCUAAGAUGAAGAAGUUUUGCUAGUUUUAACAACGGAUUGAUAUGGCCUUGAAGUGGAUAUGGAGUUAUCACUGCAUGUGGCUUAAUUCUCUCUGCAAAAUUGCUCAUGUUUGAAUUUGUGUGUGUAAGAUAAGUUUAAGAAUAAAGGGAUACAAGUGAUCUUUGCUUUAAUAGAGAGAAAAUGUCAUCUUCAUUGUUUGGUGUAAGAAAAUGAGGGAAGUACAAAGGAUAAGUGUUAUACCCUGUUUUUGGACCUAAAAAUACUGGGCCCAAUUUCAUUUCAAACUUUGUCAAUUAUCAAAUUUCAACUGCACAGUUCAAAUUGUCUCUGCCUCGCAGUAUUUUUCAAUCACAAUUUUACCUAUGUUUUUCUUGCAUAAAACCUUUCGAAAUGUCUUUACUUGUCUUGUAAGUCAUUCAAAAGUGUCUCUGAAUCAUUACAUUGCUUUUUCCACAGUUUAUUUCAAAAUUUGCAAAGAAGUCAUACAGAAGGGUAUUUUGGUCAUUUCCCGCAGUGGGACCCAUUUUCAUCCUUGUGACUGUCUCUGAGUCUUUUCAAAUUCAUUUUUAACUUUCCAUCAGUAAACCUUGCUAAUUUCGUUUCAAACUUGCAUCUGAGUCAGUGUCGAGUUAAUUUGAUUCUGUUUAGGUCAUUUUUAGCCCUAGGGGCAUUUUGGUCAUUUCACAUAAAAUUUUGGCAUGGGGAGGUUACUUUGAAGUACCUCAUUUAGGCCAUUGGUUCGUUUUAGUCCGUUUUGUCAAUUUUAUUUUUUUGUUUCGCUUUACGUUUUGUCAGGUUACCAAUUUUAUUUCAAUUUUAUUUUAUUUUGCAUUUUGGUCCUCAAAGAGGUCCAAAAUUGCAUUUCAGUCCAGAAUUCUUUCUAUUUGCAUUUUUAGUCCUUUUUGUUAUUUCCAUUUUAGUCCUUUAAUUUUUCAAUUUUGCAGAAAAGGGCUCAAAGUGUCAAGCUCACGUUUUUUUUCAGUUAAAGUCCAGAUGUCACAAUUCUAUUGGUCCAAGAUCACACAUGUCAGCUAUAAAAGGUGUACAGUGCCACACAGACCCAUUAAUCACACGCCAACUCAUAAACACAAAAUCAAUUUUCUCUUUCUCAGCAAUUAGAUCAAAAACAGAAAAUCUCUCAGAAUUUCUCAAGAACACCAGGAACAAAAACCCUAACCGUUUUCCAGAAACCCUAAUUUUCAUCAGAAUCAACAUUUUUUGCAUCAAUCCUCAGAGAUUCGUGUGAAUCUUCAUCACCGGACUGAAGAUUUUCCUGCAAUUCCAAGUGCGAGCUCGCAUUGAAGCAAGCUCAAGCACUGAUCACAGGAUCUCCUCGCGUGGAUCUAAGAAACAUUGAAGCAAGCUCAAGCACGUAAUCACAGAGAAGCAGAGAAAGAGUCAGAGAAGAUGAAGAAUCUGGACCGGUGAAGCAAACAGAAUCAAAAAUCAUCAAGAACAGAAUCAAGAUUUCCAAAGAUUUCCUCCAUUAAAGGUUUCAACCAAAACCUUAGGUAAAACUCAUAAUCUUUUCUCAGAAAAUAAUAUCACUGUUAAACCUAAAAAUCACGCAAGCAAAACAGAUCCAAAAUUUCCAGAAUUCAAAGCCAAAACCGUAACCGUGAACACAAAACCUAGAUCCAUAAGGAUCUAAGUUUUGAAAGCAAAAACAAACAUCAAAGAGGUGUUAAACAACGAAAUGAUGUAGAUCUUCAAGGAUCUAAACGUUUUCUUUCAAAAAAUCAAAAUCAAAUUCAAAGCCGUACGACAAAUUUCCAGAUCUACAUCGUUUCGAAUUGAAUUUGAAAAAACAAUUGCUGGAUUCGUGUUUAGGGUUAAAGGACGAAUUGAUUGAUGAAGAAAUUUUGAAAUUCUGGAAAUUUUAGGUCACCGGAGUUCUUGAACUCGCCGGAGAAGAUGAAGUUUCCGGCGGACCUUCAAGGUCUCCGCCGUAGCUUCAUCCUCGCCGGCGGCGAGGUUAGUGAGAGGUGAGAGAAGAGAGAGGAACUUAGAGAGAGAAAGGGGAGUGAAAAGUGAAGAAAACCGGAACCUCUUCCCUUAUAUAAGCUAGUGAACCAGACCGGUUCAAGACCGGUCCAAUCCUGUUGAUUCCAGGCCGUUUGAUCUAGGGUUUCAGGAUCCUGGAUCAAUCCUGUGGCUCCUGUGAAUCCGGUUCUUUAGGGUUUUGGGUUGGGCCUUUGGUUUCUUUGGAUCUUUACGUUUUGCUAUUUCUGUGCUAUUCACACCCCUAUUUUUUGCUGCCUGCACCUAUGUCUUGAUUAAAAUUGUGAUAAAAUUCCUAGAAAAAUUCAUACAUGUUUCUUGAUAUUUUCUUAGUGUUUUUAUGACAUUUUUGCACAUUAAGGAUCUAUGAAAAUUUUGUAUAAUCAAUUCAUAGCAUUUUAAUUCUCUUUGAAUUAUUUGUUAUGGAUUCUUCUUCACACAUUUGUCCUUGAUGUGAGAAUAUGUAAUAAAAGCUACUUGAUGUGUUAAUAUGAGAGAUUUGUGCCUAUAAUUUCAUGUUGAUUUGCUGUUUUGAUUUGGUUUAUGAGUUCUUGUUUUUAUGAACAAUAUAUCCAUAUUUUGAAAGAUAUAAAAUGCCAAGUUUACUCUAGAAAAUAUGGCAUGAAAUCAUGCUUGCAUGUUUCCAAUAAUUCCAUGCUAUAACUUGAGAUAAAGAAAACUCUUUCAAAAUUUGUUAAAGCAUGAGAAUUAGAGGCCAAGAAUGCUUUAGGUUUCAUACCUAAGUUUUUAGGGUUUAAUGUCAUUUUGUUAACUUUUUGUGCCAUCUUGCAUGCUUUUAUUUCUUAGUACUUGUUAUGUUUUUUCUUUUCACUAACAAGUUUAUUUCCAUGUUUCAUGCAUCCCAUUUAGCAUUCCCUCCACUUUCUUUAGCCUAGCCUUUAUCUUUUGCAAGUUUUAAUUCAUUUGGUAAUGUAAUUUGUUAUCAUUGGUUUGUAGCUUGGCAAAGGGGCCAUAGAAUGUAUUUAGGCAAUUUUUGUAAUAUGGACUAUGGACACUAUGAUGCACCGACACGCACACACUCACCUUAGAUGUAUGCAUAGGAUUGUAUGGUUAAAUAAGCGUUUAGGUUUUAAACACUUAGAGAAAAUCCAUCUUUUUUUCAAAAAAAAAUAAUUGAACUUCACUUCAAAAACUUUCCUAAUAAGUAUGAAGUCAACACUUCAUUUUUUUCCUUUCUUUUUUUCUUAAGAAAAAUUCAAUUCAUCUUAAUCAUUUAGACUUUCUUUCUAAUCACUAAUCAAACCUCACUUUUUGCUAAAUCUAAUGCUCAUGAAGCCUCCCAAUCUCCUUCUUCAAAACCUUUUUUCUCAAAACUUAAAAUUAAACAAUUAGAACAAAAAACAAGUCUUUUUAGCAAGAACUACGCCGGUUUUGAUCCCGUAAAACGGUACGUAGGCAAUGAGUCAAAACUCAUCCAAGCCGAAAUAAAAUCCAAUUCUACUUCUUCUCACCCCCAUUCUUCACUAAUCAUACUUUCUUUUUUACAAAUAAGCAAUAAAACUAAAGCGUAGAAAUAAACUUAGGAAAGCGGUUCUUAUGGAGUACCAUAAUCGCUCCGGGUGCCUAACACCUUCCCGUAGCGAAAACGACCCCCGAACUUAGAAUCUAAGGGUUUUUCUCAAUUUUGCCCUUCCCAAGAAAAAAUAGAGAAUAUCAACGGUCAAAAGGUUCAAGUCCAAUUAAUGGCUUGGCACCCAAAAACCAUGAUAACAGAAAUGGCGACUUCACUGGGGAUUUUUUUAGCGGGUCACGCCUAGUUUUCCUUAGUUUAUUUACGCUUUGUUUUAUUGCUUACAUAUGUGAAUACUUGUUUACUUUCAUUUGACGUGUGGGGUGAGAAUAUCAAAAGUCCUAUACCCGGGCUGAGUGAACUUAUGUUUAGGUAGAGAUAUAAUCGAGAAUUCGAUCCGGGGGUUGCCUCGUGUAUUGGAUUAUGCGAUCAAUCUCACAUAGCUGAGGCAUUUUGAAGGUGAUAUUGUCGGCGUGUGUUGUCAUGCUUAGGCACUUCACUUUCAAUUGUUCGACGAAGCUAUGAACCGUAGUUACCAAACCCAUCCUAGCCUUUUUAGGACGUAGUGCGGUGGCUAAAUUGAGUGUUGUCUCAAACUUUAGUCGUCACGCGAUACUACACUCAAGCUAGACCUUCUCACAAAUAAUCAUGGAACGGGUGUCGUCCUGUACUACCAUGAUAUAUGUGAGAGAGGUUGCAGUUUGGGAACUGUGUUAGAACCAUGGUUACUACUAUCCAAAGCCUUAGUUCACCGGACGCCGUGUCCAUCCGUGGCCCCGUUACUUUGAAACUCAAUCCACUUUUAACAACACGAUCAUGCAUACAUGCAUUCAUGCAUAAACAUUUUUCAUGCAUUCAUCGAAGGGUUUAAACAAAUGGAAAUUUUUGUAAAUAAUCACAGGUAUGAAGAAGACUAAGUGCUACAAGUUCAAGGAAGUGGAUUUGGUUAGUUUGAGAGAGUUGGCACUCAAGGUCAAGAGUCAAACAGGGUUCCGACUCCGGUAUGGGGGAUUGCUUACUUUGCUCCGAACCGAUGUGGACGAGAAGCUAGUGCACACUCUAGUGCAAUUUUAUGAUCCAAGCUUCUGUUGCUUCACCUUCCCGGACUUCCAGUUGGUUCCUACUCUCGAGGCUUACUCCAAUCUAGUGGGUUUACCUAUGGCCGAGAAGACGCCUUUCACCGGUCCCGGGACUUCUCUUACUCCUCUGGUUAUUGCUAAGGAUCUCUACCUCAAGACUUCCGACGUCUCCAACCAUCUUAUUACCAAGUCUCACAUUCGGGGGUUCACUUCGAAGUAUCUUCUUGAUCAGGCUAAUCUCGGUACUACUCGUCAGGAUACACUCGAGGCUAUUCUUGCUUUGCUUAUCUACGGGCUCAUUCUCUUCCCGAACCUCGACAACUUCGUGGACAUGAAUGCUAUCGAGAUCUUUCAUUCCAAGAACCCGGUUCCUACUUUGCUAGCGGAUACCUACCACGCCAUUCAUGACAGGACUCUCAAGGGCCGUGGGUAUAUUCUUUGCUGCAUACCUCUUCUGUAUAGGUGGUUUAUUUCGCACCUUCCGAGUUCCUUCCAUGAUAACUCGGAGAACUGGUCCUACUCGCAGCGGAUUAUGGCCCUCACUCCUAAUGAGGUCGUCUGGCUCACUCCGGCCGCUCAGGUGAAGGAAAUUGUCAUGGGUUGUGGAGACUUUCUCAAUGUACCUCUUCUUGGUACUCGUGGAGGAAUUAACUACAACCCCGAGCUUGCUAUGAGGCAGUUUGGUUUUCCUAUGAAGUCGAAGCCCAUCAAUCUUGCUACAUCUCCAGAGUUCUUCUUCUAUGCGAAUGCUCCUACCGGACAAAGGAAAGCUUUCAUGGAUGCUUGGUCCAAGGUUCGAAGGAAGAGUGUGAAGCAUCUAGGUGUGAGAUCCGGUAUUGCUCAUGAGGCCUAUACUCAGUGGGUGAUAGAUCGAGCUGAGGAGAUCGGUAUGCCUUAUCCAGCUAUGAGAUAUGUGUCUUCGUCUACUCCAUCUAUGCCUCUACCUCUACUCCCCGCGACUCAGGAUAUGUAUCAGGAGCAUCUAGCUAUGGAGAGUCGUGAGAAGCAAGUGUGGAAAGCUCGGUACAAUCAAGCCGAGAAUCUAAUCAUGACUUUGGAUGGUAGAGAUGAGCAGAAGACUCAUGAGAAUCUAAUGUUGAAGAAAGAGCUAGCUAAGGCCCGGAGGGAAUUGGAAGAGAAAGAUGAGCUGCUUAUGAGGGACUCCAAGAGAGCCAGAGGACGACGAGACUUCUUUGCCAGAUACUGUGAUUCAGAUUCCGAGUCCGAUGAUCUUCCGACUACUUCCUAUGCUUGAGGGCUUCAUAUGUUUAUUUCAAAGUCUUUCUGUUGAGAAUACUAUGUAGUUUUGUUUAUUUGCAAGAUUUCUAAUUUGUUUAAAAAUCCUUCGAUGAGAGAAUAAGUCUUUUGCAUUUGCAUUUGCACAUCAUGCAUCAUAUGCAUCAUGCAUUGGUCACAAAGGCUUCCAAGUGCUUACCACCUCCUGGUUUCUCUGCCGCAGUGUGAAAAGUGGCUCGUGCUCAGAGAAUUUACGAACCUGAUAGAAUUGAUCGAACCAGAGAAUACAGAAGAAAGAAAAGGGCUAUGGAAGAAGAGAACACACAGCUUCGUACCGAAUUGGCAUCUCUAAGGGAGGAAUUGGCCAAAGCUCAUGAUGCUAUGACUGCUCUGUUGGCUGCUCAGGAACAACCAGUUCCUGUAGUUUCUACAGCUGCAAAUGUGACUCCUACCGUAACAACUGAUCCCCGCUCUAUCAUGCCAUCCGGGUACCCUUACGGACUUCCGCUGUACUAUACUACUAAUACAGGGGCAGGGACCUCUGGUACUACCAACAAUGGCCCAAUCCCAGGGGCAAACUUAACUCCUGUUAGUACCGCCUUGACUCAAGCUGCAACGACUGUUACCGAGCCCAUUGUGAAUGCGGUGCCUCUAUUUGUCCAUGCUAAUGCGCACCACGGGAGUAUUGCCACAACCGGAACUAUGGAAGAGAGAAUGGAAGAACUUGCCAAAGAGCUCCGACGGGAAAUUAAGGCCAACAGGGGAAACGGGGACUCCAUUAAAACCCAGGAUCUCUGCUUGGUAUCGAAGGUAGAUGUUCCAAAAAAGUUCAAAGUCCCGGAGUUCGACAAAUAUAACGGGCUGACUUGUCCUCAAAAUCAUAUUGUCAAAUACGUCCGGAAGAUGGGCAACUACAAGGACAAUGAUUCCCUUAUGAUCCAUUACUUCCAAGACAGUCUGAUGGAAGAUGCUGCAGAGUGGUAUACUAGUCUGAGCAAAGAUGAUGUCCAUACCUUUGAUGAGCUAGCCACCGCUUUCAGGAGCCACUACGGGUUUAACACUCGUUUGAAGCCGAAUAGGGAGUUCCUCAGGUCCCUAUCUCAGAAAAAGGAGGAGAGUUUCCGUGAAUAUGCGCAAAGGUGGAGAGGGGCAGCUGCCCGUAUCACUCCUGCUUUAGAUGAAGAAGAAAUGACCCAGACAUUCUUAAAGACCUUGAAGAAGGAUUAUGUUGAGAGGAUGAUCAUCGCCGCCCCGAACAACUUUUCAGAGAUGGUCACUAUGGGAACCCGUCUUGAGGAAGCAGUCAGGGAUGGAAUCAUUGUGUUUGAGAAAGCUGAAUCUUCUACGAGUGCAUCGAAGAGGUAUGGUAAUGGACACCACAAGAAGAAAGAAACGGAAGUGGGGAUGGUGUCAGCUGGAGCCGGUCAAUCUAUGGCUACUGUUGCACCUAUCAAUGCAGCUCAAAUGCCUCCGUCAUACCCAUAUAUGCCGUAUUCUCAGCAUCCGUUCUUCCCACCGUUUUAUCAUCAGUAUCCUUUGCCACCAGGCCAACCUCAGGUUCCUGUCAAUGCCAUCGCUCAACAGGUACAACAUCAACCGCCAGUUCAACAGCAGCAGCAGCAGUAUACUAGACCAACUUUUCCUCCUAUACCAAUGUUGUAUGCUGAGUUGCUUCCAACUUUACUCCAGAGAGGACAUUGCACAACUAGACAGGGCAAGCCACCACCUGAUCCGUUGCCUCCAAGGUUCAGGUCUGAUCCCAAAUGUGACUUUCAUCAAGGUGCCUUAGGUCAUGAUGUCGAGGGGUGUUAUGCUUUGAAGUAUAUUGUGAAGAAGCUCAUUGAUCAGGGAAAGCUGACUUUUGAGAACAAUGUUCCACAUGUCCUUGACAAUCCACUACCAAAUCAUGCCGCUGUGAAUAUGAUCGAAGUGUGUGAGGAAGCUCCUAGACUUGAUGUCCGCAAUGUUGCCACUCCCCUGGUGCCUCUGCAUAUCAAGCUAUGCAAAGCUUCUCUGUUCAGCCAUGAUCAUGCCAAGUGUCUAGGAUGCCUCCGUGAUCCUUUGGGUUGCCAUACUGUUCAAGACGACAUCCAAAGCCUGAUGGAUGAUAAUCUUCUGACUGUCAGUGAUGUUUGCGUGGUCGUGCCAGUUUUUCACGAUCCGCCUGUCAAGAGUGUACCUUUGAAGAAGAAUGCUGAGCCUUUGGUGAUAAGGUUGCCAGGACCAAUUCCUUAUGUUUCGGACAAGGCAGUGCCAUACAAGUACAAUGCUACUAUGAUAGAAAAUGGAGUAGAGGUGCCUCUAGCCUCCUUUGCCACAGUAAGCAAUAUUGCCGAAGGGACUUCUGCAGCGCUAAGAAGCGGGAAGGUUCGUCCGCCAUUAUUUCAGAAGAAGGUAGCUACGCCAAUCACUCCACCAGUUGAAGAAGCAACUCCAACCGUUGUUUCACCCAUUGCUACAGAUGUGAAUCAGCCAGGCAAGUCUAUAGAGGAUUCGAAUUUAGAUGAGAUUCUGAGAAUAAUAAAGAGGAGCGACUACAAGAUCGUUGAUCAAUUGCUGCAAACUCCUUCGAAGAUAUCCGUCUUGUCACUACUCUUGAGCUCUGAGGCUCAUAGGAAUACCUUGUUGAAAGUGCUGGAGCAGGCUUAUGUUGACCACGAAGUCUCGGUAGAUCGUUUCGGUGGCAUAGUGGGAAAUAUCACUGCUUGUAACAACCUCUGGUUCAGUGAAGAAGAGUGGCCAGAAGUGGGAAAGGGUCACAAUCUGGCUUUGCACAUCUCGGUGAACUGUAAAUCAGACAUGAUAUCAAAUGUGUUGGUGGAUACCGGUUCCUCUCUCAAUGUAAUGCCCAAGACAACUCUAGAUCAGUUGAGCUACCGCGGGACCCCGUUGAGGAGAAGUACUUUCUUGGUCAAAGCUUUUGACGGAUCUCGAAAGAAUGUGCUGGGAGAGAUAGACUUGCCGAUAACUAUUGGCCCUGAGAAUUUCUUGGUUACCUUCCAAGUGAUGGACAUUAAUGCAUCCUACAGUUGCCUGCUGGGAAGACCGUGGAUACACGAUGCAGGUGCGGUUACUUCCACUUUACAUCAGAAGUUGAAAUUUGUGAAGAAUGGAAAACUCGUUACAAUCCAUGGUGAAGAAGCAUACUUAGUCAGCCAGUUGUCUUCUUUUUCUUGUGUUGAAGCAGGGUCUGCUGAAGGGACUGCUUUCCAAGGUUUGACCAUUGAAGGCGCAGAGCCUAAGGAAGCUGGGGCUGCUAUGGCUUCAUUGAAAGAUGCUCAGAGAGCCAUCCAAGAAGGUCAGACUGCCGGCUGGGGCAAGGUGAUACAGCUCUGUGAGAACAAGCGUAAAGAAGGUCUCGGGUUCUCCCCGUCAUCAAGGGUUUCCUCGGGAGUCUUCCACAGUGCAGGGUUUGUUAAUGCUAUCUCUGAAGAAGCCACUGGAUCUGGUCUCAGGCCUGUAUUUGUUACACCAGGAGGCAUUGCGACAAAUUGGGAUGCCGUUGACAUUCCUUCAAUCAUGCAUGUUUCUGAGUAAUGUGUCUUGUUGCUUUAGUACUUUGUUUUCAAAAUAACAAUCCUCUCGCUCUGCCCAAAGCGAGAGUGAUAUUUUCUGUAAGGGCAUGUUUGUUUCGGCAUUGCCGUUGAUUAAUAAAAUUUUGUCGUUUCUUCCACGACUACUUUUUUUAAGUGCUUUUUCCCUUGGAAGCAAUGGUAAUGCCAGAAAAAACCAAAACGUCUGUAUUUUCUUAUUAAUUUCAAAAAUCUGCAUGAAAAAAAACUCUUUCUAAAAAUCAUCCAAUCAUUAUAUGCAGGUUGAACCAUAAUAAAUCCGUUGAACACAGUAAUCCUACGGUUCCUCCAAGUUUUGAUUUCCCUGUAUAUGAAGCCGAAGAUGAGGAAGGUGAUGACAUACCGUAUGAGAUCACUCGGUUACUUGAGCAAGAAAAGAAAGCCAUUCAGUCUCACCAAGAAGAGAUUGAGCUUAUCAACAUAGGUACCGAGGAAAACAAGCGAGAAAUCAAGAUUGGUGCUACCCUAGAGGAAGGGGUUAAACAGAAGAUCAUCCAACUCCUCCGGGAAUAUCCGGAUAUUUUUGCAUGGUCCUAUGAAGAUAUGCCAGGUCUAGACCCUAUGAUCGUGGAGCAUCGGAUCCCUACCAAGCCUGAAUGUCCUCCCGUCAGGCAGAAAUUGAGAAGGACUCAUCCUGACAUGGCCCUCAAGAUUAAGAGUGAAGUUCAAAAGCAGAUUGAUGCGGGUUUCCUCAUGACAGUGGAGGUAUCCCGAAUGGGUUGCCAAUAUUGUGCCUGUGCCAAAGAAGGAUGGUAAAGUCCGGAUGUGUGUUGACUUUAGGGACUUGAACAAAGCCAGUCCAAAAGACAACUUUCCGUUACCUCAUAUUGAUGUGCUUGUUGAUAAUACUGCUCAAUCUAAGGUGUUCUCCUUCAUGGACGGUUUUUCCGGUUAUAAUCAGAUCAAAAUGUCUCCUGAAGAUAGAGAAAAGACAUCUUUUAUCACGCCAUGGGGUACUUUCUGCUACAAAGUGAUGCCGUUCGGCCUAAUCAAUGCUGGUGCUACCUACCAAAGGGGAAUGACCACUCUGUUUCAUGACAUGAUUCACAAAGAAGUUGAGGUAUAUGUGGAUGACAUGAUUGUGAAGUCAGCAGAUGAGGAGCAGCAUGUUGAAUAUUUAACAAAGAUGUUUGAAAGGUUGAGAAAAUACAAGCUGCGACUGAAUCCCAACAAAUGUACAUUCGGUGUCAGGUCUGGAAAGUUAUUAGGCUUCAUUGUCAGCCAAAAGGGCAUUGAAGUCGAUCCUGAUAAAGUCCGGGCCAUCCGAGAAAUGCCAGCUCCACAGACAGAGAAGCAAGUCAGAGGUUUCUUGGGACGUUUGAAUUACAUCUCCCGAUUCAUAUCUCAUAUGACUGCAACCUGCGGGCCGAUCUUCAAACUACUUAGAAAGAACCAGCCUGUUGUAUGGGAUGAUGAAUGCCAAGAAGCUUUUGAUAGCAUCAAGAAUUACCUGCUGGAACCACCUAUCCUUGUCCCACCCGUGGAAGGAAGGCCUUUGAUUAUGUAUUUGGCAGUAUUUGAUGAAUCCAUGGGAUGUGUACUUGGUCAACAAGAUGAAACCGGAAAGAAAGAGCAUGCUAUCUACUAUCUAAGCAAGAAGUUCACCGAUUGUGAAACUCGGUAUACAAUGCUUGAAAAGACUUGUUGUGCUCUAGCUUGGGCUGCCAAACGCCUGCGCCAUUAUUUGGUGAAUCAUACAACUUGGUUGAUAUCCAGAAUGGAUCCGAUAAAGUAUAUCUUUGAGAAAGCGGCCGUUACUGGGAAGAUCGCACGCUGGCAGAUGCUUUUGUCUGAAUAUGAUAUUGUGUUCAAAACUCAAAAGGCAAUCAAAGGCAGCAUUCUUGCCGAUCACCUUGCUUAUCAACCUCUUGAUGAUUACCAACCAAUUGAAUUCGAUUUCCCUGAUGAAGAGAUCAUGUAUUUGAAAUCCAAAGACUGCGACGAACCGUUGAUUAAUGAAGGUCCAGAUCCCAAUAGCAAGUGGGGUUUAGUCUUUGAUGGUGCUGUCAAUGCUUAUGGCAAAGGAAUUGGGGCAGUCAUUGUAUCCCCGCAAGGGCAUCACAUUCCUUUUACCGCCCGUAUUCUGUUCGAAUGUACAAACAAUAUGGCUGAGUAUGAAGCAUGUAUCUUCGGGAUCGAGGGAGCAAUUGACAUGAGAAUCAAACACCUCGACAUCUAUGGAGAUUCUGCGCUCGUCAUCAAUCAGAUAAAGGGUGAAUGGGAGACCCACCAUGCUAAGUUGAUUCCUUAUCGUGAUUAUGCGAGACGUCUUCUGACAUAUUUUACAAAGGUUGAGCUGCAUCAUAUUCCUCGUGAUGAGAACCAAAUGGCUGAUGCUCUUGCUACUCUAUCUUCCAUGUUUCGAGUAAACCAUUGGAAUGAUGUGCCAUUAAUUAAAGUGCAACGCCUUGAAAGACCUUCGCAUGUGUUUGCUAUUGGGGAUGUGAUCGAUCAGGCUGGUGAAAAUAUGGUUGACUAUAGACCCUGGUACUACGACAUCAAACAGUUCUUGCUGAGCCGUGAGUAUCCGCCGGGUGCUUCCAAACAAGACAAGAAGACCUUGAGAAGAUUGGCCGGUAGAUUCUUGUUAGAUGGAGAUAUUCUGUACAAGAGGAACUAUGACAUGGUAUUGUUAAGAUGUGUUGAUGAACAUGAAGCAGAGCAGUUAAUGCAUGAUGUACAUGACGGUACCUUCGGGACCCAUGCUACAGGGCAUACUAUGUCAAGAAAGUUGCUACGGGCAGGUUACUACUGGAUGGCCAUGGAGCAUGAUUGCUACCAAUACGCCAGAAAAUGCCACAAAUGUCAAAUCUAUGCUGAUAAGAUUCAUGUGCCUCCGCACGCUCUCAAUGUUAUGUCAUCCCCAUGGCCGUUCUCAAUGUGGGGCAUCGAUAUGAUUGGAAGAAUUGAACCGAAAGCUUCAAAUGGUCAUCGUUUCAUCUUAGUGGCAAUUGACUACUUUACCAAAUGGGUUGAAGCAGCAUCUUAUACCAAUGUGACCAAGCAAGUGGUAGCUAAGUUCAUCAAGAACAACAUCAUCUGUCGAUAUGGUGUUCCCAGCAAGAUUAUUACCGACAAUGGUACCAACCUGAACAACAAUGUGGUGCAAGCUCUUUGUGAAGAAUUCAAAAUUGAGCAUCAUAACUCUUCUCCUUAUAGACCUCAGAUGAAUGGUGCAGUUGAGGCCGCCAAUAAGAAUAUCAAGAGAAUUGUCCAGAAGAUGGUAACCACUUACAAGGACUGGCAUGAGAUGUUACCCUAUGCUCUGCAUGGCUACCGUACUACCAUGCGCAGUUCAACCGGGGCAACCCCUUUCUCUCUUGUAUAUGGUAUGGAAGCAGUUCUUCCUUUGGAAGUGGAGAUCCCAUCUCUCCGUGUGAUCAUGGAAGCAAAGUUAUCCGAAGCUGAAUGGUGCCAAAGCCGGUAUGAUCAGUUGAAUUUGAUUGAGGAAAAACGUAUGGAUGCCAUGGCUCGUGGACAGUCAUAUCAAGCAAGAAUGAAGACUGCCUUUGACAAGAAAGUCCAUCCUCGAGAAUUCAAGGUAGGGGAACUUGUAUUGAAAAGGAGGAUAAGCCAGCAACCCGACCCGAGGGGCAAGUGGACGCCUAACUAUGAAGGUCCUUAUGUCGUCAAGAAGGCCUUCUCCGGUGGUGCUUUAAUCCUUACACACAUGGAUGGUGUAGAGCUUCCAAAUCCAGUGAAUGCCGAUAUAGUCAAGAAAUACUUUGCCUAAAAAUAUGAAAAGAACAGCGUGGUAGGUCGAAAACCCGAAAGGGCGGCCUAGGCAAAAAUGCGCUUCCCGGUGGAUCGAAAACCCGAAAGGGCGGUCCAGGCAAAAAUAAGGGACAAAAAAAACAACAAAUAUGAAAAGCUCGCUGAGAUUGUACACAACUCAGGCAAGAAUGAGCGUCUCGAUGAGCCGAAAACCCGGAAGGUCGGUUCAUGCAAAAAUGAGAUUGAAACAAAAGGCAAGUAACUAUAUCUGGCCAACCACCGUCCCCCUUGGGGCAUCUGCAGCUGUUAAUGCCUAUCUUCAUCAAAAGCUUCUGUACUUGUGAAUUCGAAGUUUCUGGGAAAUGUCAUGAUUACUGUGUUCAAUGUACCACCAACCAAUAAAAUUACCAUUUUCCAAGCUUUGUGAAUCCGUGGAGUCGUGCCUUCGGCUGAUCACCACUCUUAUACAUCAAUUUGAGCUUGUGCUUUUGUUUGAAACUCUAUUUUUCUUCUACUUUCAAAGCUGUAUACAAAACAUUCUCUUUCCAUUUUGAUAAUGACAAUGCUUGAAACAAACAUUUUUGAAAAUUGAAAACUUUUUGUCUAUUUUGAAAAGCAAACCCGAGCAACAGGGUACAUUCAAAUGAACAUGCAUGAGCGAGUGUGUGUGGGUGUCUAUCUUCAAUAUAUGUUACAAGCAGGUUCUCCUCCAAGAUAAUCUGUGGUCAAUGGCAAGAAUGAAAAAACAGAAUGAAAAUGCAUGAAAAUGAAUGAGCUCGCUAAGUUGAAAACCCGAAAGGGCGACUUAGGCAAAAAUGAGCACCCCGCUGGAUUGACAACCCGAAAGGGCAGUUCAGGCAAAAAUGGGGCAUUGAAAAGAAUUUAUUUCCCCGGUGGGUCGAAAACCCGAAAGGGCGAUCCAGGCAAAAAUGGGAUGCAAAAAAUGAAUGAUGAAGAUUGAGAAUAUAACAUGCAAAAAGCAUUGACCACAGAUGCGAUGUCCACAACAUGCCCAGCACAACGGCAUUAUCCCCAGUAAAGUCUCUCAAGAUUCUAUCCCCAGCAAGUUGCAUAGCUACCAGCCCUCAGCCUAGGUCCCGAAACGUCUCCCAACGACGUCAUCUCCAAAGAGGAUUUCCAAGAAUGUGUAAUAUAGCUCGAGCCACUACGUGCCCAAUACUCUGAUGUCUUGUCUUCCCCGUGAAGUCGUGCCUACAAAAUGCCAACAGUCAUGCAUUACAAGCAUUCAUACAUGCAUAAUCAUGCAUAUUACGUACCCAUGCAUUUAAUGAAAUUGUUAUAUCAUCCAUGCAUAUUGCAUUUCCAAUGUCAACAUCAGUCUCAAUUCAACACUCAUGUCAGGUUCUCUGUCAAAACCUUGUGAGCCAAUAAUAUCGGUCAAUUUCUACCUUUCAAUUCAAAUCGACGUCAAGUCAAUCUCAAUCUAUAUUUUGUCAACAAACCAAUCCCCAGUGAAUAUGUUUUUGUUCGGUCAAGUUACUAGUUCGCAUCCAAGAACGACUUGCACCCGUUUACUUUUCAAUGUUAUCGGUCGAGUGCCCAGCUCAAUCCAAGAGCAGCUUGUACCUGUCUAUUUGUUUCUGUCCGGUGGAGUAACCAGUUCGCAUCCAAGAACAAGCUCACACCUGUUUAUUUGCCUUGCUUUCGGUCGAGUAACCAGUUCGAAUCCUUAAGAACAACUCGUACCUGCCAAUUUUACAUGUUUUCAGUCGAGUCACCAGUUCGAAUCCGUAAGAACAACUCGUACUUGCCAAUUUUCUCUUUUUCCCAGUCGGGUCACCAGUUCGAAUCCAUAAGAACAACUCGCACUUUCCAGUAUCCCCAAGUGAGUUAUCAGUUCGAAUCCAUAAGAACAACUCAUAUUUGUCCAGUAACCUCUAUCCCCUGUGGAGUGACCAGUUCGAAUCCAUAAGAACAACUCGCAGUUGUCUGUUUGUUUCAUUCCCGGUCAGGUGCCCAGCUCGAUCCAAGAGCAGCUUGUACCUGUCCAACUUGUUUCUAGUUUCCCGUUACUCUGCUAUUCACUAUCUUUGUCAAUGUCUACCAAUCCCGCAAUGGAUACGACAUAUUUUGUUAAUUCCAAUCCCCAUGAGGUCUUGCAUUCAUAAUCCAAACGAUGCAUGGCAUGCAUAUUAUUUGAAAAUGGGUAGGCGUAUUUUUACGUCCAAACACAGUGCAAAUGCUAAUAUUUAAGUAUCUUCGUCCUGUCAAGCCAAAGACUCCGUCUCUUGACUCUCCAGACAAAGAAACUUAAAUAGGGGCAGCUGUUAUACCCUGUUUUUGGACCUAAAAAUACUGGGCCCAAUUUCAUUUCAAACUUUGUCAAUUAUCAAAUUUCAACUGCACAGUUCAAAUUGUCUCUGCCUCGCAGUAUUUUUCAAUCACAAUUUUACCUAUGUUUUUCUUGCAUAAAACCUUUCGAAAUGUCUUUACUUGUCUUGUAAGUCAUUCAAAAGUGUCUCUGAAUCAUUACAUUGCUUUUUCCACAGUUUAUUUCAAAAUUUGCAAAGAAGUCAUACAGAAGGGUAUUUUGGUCAUUUCCCGCAGUGGGACCCAUUUUCAUCCUUGUGACUGUCUCUGAGUCUUUUCAAAUUCAUUUUUAACUUUCCAUCAGUAAACCUUGCUAAUUUCGUUUCAAACUUGCAUCUGAGUCAGUGUCGAGUUAAUUUGAUUCUGUUUAGGUCAUUUUUAGCCCUAGGGGCAUUUUGGUCAUUUCACAUAAAAUUUUGGCAUGGGGAGGUUACUUUGAAGUACCUCAUUUAGGCCAUUGGUUCGUUUUAGUCCGUUUUGUCAAUUUUAUUUUUUUGUUUCGCUUUACGUUUUGUCAGGUUACCAAUUUUAUUUCAAUUUUAUUUUAUUUUGCAUUUUGGUCCUCAAAGAGGUCCAAAAUUGCAUUUCAGUCCAGAAUUCUUUCUAUUUGCAUUUUUAGUCCUUUUUGUUAUUUCCAUUUUAGUCCUUUAAUUUUUCAAUUUUGCAGAAAAGGGCUCAAAGUGUCAAGCUCACGUUUUUUUUCAGUUAAAGUCCAGAUGUCACAAUUCUAUUGGUCCAAGAUCACACAUGUCAGCUAUAAAAGGUGUACAGUGCCACACAGACCCAUUAAUCACACGCCAACUCAUAAACACAAAAUCAAUUUUCUCUUUCUCAGCAAUUAGAUCAAAAACAGAAAAUCUCUCAGAAUUUCUCAAGAACACCAGGAACAAAAACCCUAACCGUUUUCCAGAAACCCUAAUUUUCAUCAGAAUCAACAUUUUUUGCAUCAAUCCUCAGAGAUUCGUGUGAAUCUUCAUCACCGGACUGAAGAUUUUCCUGCAAUUCCAAGUGCGAGCUCGCAUUGAAGCAAGCUCAAGCACUGAUCACAGGAUCUCCUCGCGUGGAUCUAAGAAACAUUGAAGCAAGCUCAAGCACGUAAUCACAGAGAAGCAGAGAAAGAGUCAGAGAAGAUGAAGAAUCUGGACCGGUGAAGCAAACAGAAUCAAAAAUCAUCAAGAACAGAAUCAAGAUUUCCAAAGAUUUCCUCCAUUAAAGGUUUCAACCAAAACCUUAGGUAAAACUCAUAAUCUUUUCUCAGAAAAUAAUAUCACUGUUAAACCUAAAAAUCACGCAAGCAAAACAGAUCCAAAAUUUCCAGAAUUCAAAGCCAAAACCGUAACCGUGAACACAAAACCUAGAUCCAUAAGGAUCUAAGUUUUGAAAGCAAAAACAAACAUCAAAGAGGUGUUAAACAACGAAAUGAUGUAGAUCUUCAAGGAUCUAAACGUUUUCUUUCAAAAAAUCAAAAUCAAAUUCAAAGCCGUACGACAAAUUUCCAGAUCUACAUCGUUUCGAAUUGAAUUUGAAAAAACAAUUGCUGGAUUCGUGUUUAGGGUUAAAGGACGAAUUGAUUGAUGAAGAAAUUUUGAAAUUCUGGAAAUUUUAGGUCACCGGAGUUCUUGAACUCGCCGGAGAAGAUGAAGUUUCCGGCGGACCUUCAAGGUCUCCGCCGUAGCUUCAUCCUCGCCGGCGGCGAGGUUAGUGAGAGGUGAGAGAAGAGAGAGGAACUUAGAGAGAGAAAGGGGAGUGAAAAGUGAAGAAAACCGGAACCUCUUCCCUUAUAUAAGCUAGUGAACCAGACCGGUUCAAGACCGGUCCAAUCCUGUUGAUUCCAGGCCGUUUGAUCUAGGGUUUCAGGAUCCUGGAUCAAUCCUGUGGCUCCUGUGAAUCCGGUUCUUUAGGGUUUUGGGUUGGGCCUUUGGUUUCUUUGGAUCUUUACGUUUUGCUAUUUCUGUGCUAUUCACACCCCUAUUUUUUGCUGCCUGCACCUAUGUCUUGAUUAAAAUUGUGAUAAAAUUCCUAGAAAAAUUCAUACAUGUUUCUUGAUAUUUUCUUAGUGUUUUUAUGACAUUUUUGCACAUUAAGGAUCUAUGAAAAUUUUGUAUAAUCAAUUCAUAGCAUUUUAAUUCUCUUUGAAUUAUUUGUUAUGGAUUCUUCUUCACACAUUUGUCCUUGAUGUGAGAAUAUGUAAUAAAAGCUACUUGAUGUGUUAAUAUGAGAGAUUUGUGCCUAUAAUUUCAUGUUGAUUUGCUGUUUUGAUUUGGUUUAUGAGUUCUUGUUUUUAUGAACAAUAUAUCCAUAUUUUGAAAGAUAUAAAAUGCCAAGUUUACUCUAGAAAAUAUGGCAUGAAAUCAUGCUUGCAUGUUUCCAAUAAUUCCAUGCUAUAACUUGAGAUAAAGAAAACUCUUUCAAAAUUUGUUAAAGCAUGAGAAUUAGAGGCCAAGAAUGCUUUAGGUUUCAUACCUAAGUUUUUAGGGUUUAAUGUCAUUUUGUUAACUUUUUGUGCCAUCUUGCAUGCUUUUAUUUCUUAGUACUUGUUAUGUUUUUUCUUUUCACUAACAAGUUUAUUUCCAUGUUUCAUGCAUCCUGUUAUCAUGGUUUUUGGGUGCCAAGCCAUUAAUUGGACUUGUACCUUUCGACCGUUGAUAUCUCUAUUUUUUCUUGGGAAGGGCAAAAUUGAGAAAAAACCCUUAGAUUCUAAGUUCGGGGGUCGGUUUUACUACGGGAAGGUGUUAGGCACCCGGAGUAACUAUAGUCCUCUAUAGGAGCCGUUUUCCUAAGUCUAUAUUCACGCUUAUUUUUACUUACUUUUGAAGAUGGGAGGUUUAUUUAGUUAAGAAUGAGGGGAGAGAAGUUGUAAGACUUUUUAAUUUUAUUUCGGCUUGGAUGAGUUUUGACUCAUUGCCUACGUACCGUUUUACGGGAUCAAAACCGGCGUAGUUCUUGCUAAAAAAAAGACUUGUUUUUCUUUUGUUUUAAUUGUUUGAUUUUAAGUUUUAAAAAAAGGUUUUGAAGAAGGAGAUUGGGAGGCUUCAUGAGCAUUAGAUUUAGCAAAAAAGGUGAGGUUUGAUUAGUGAUUUAGAAAGAAAGUCUAAAUGAUUAAGAUGAAUUGAAUUUUUCUUAAGAAAAAAGAGAAAGGAAAAAAAAAAUGAAGUGUUGACUUCAUACUUAUUAUGAAAAUUUUUGAAGUGAAGUUCAAUUGCUUUUUUUGAAAAAAAGAUGGAUUUUCCCUAAGUGUUCAAACCUAAGCGCUUAUCUAACCAUACAAUCCUAUGCAUACAUCUAAGGUGAGUGUGUGCGUGUCGGUGCGUCAUAGUGUCCAUAGUCCAUAUUACAAAAAUUGCCUAAAUACAUUCUAUGGCCCCUUUGCCAAGCUACAAACCAAUGAUAACAAAUUACAUUACCAAAUGAAUUAAAACUUGCAAAAAAAACAAAUGCUAGGCUAAAAAGUGGAGGGAAUGCUGAGUUUUUAUGGAGAUUCUGUUAGGUUUCUUCGGAAACACUUGGAUUUGGCUUUUGCUUGUUGAUUUCUGGCUUUGAACCGAAAAUAAAUCGGUGAUUCUUCUUUUCUCACUGAUUCCGUUUCUUCAUCUUCUUCGCCGGCUUAAAACCUUGCUUCUUUCCCUUUUCUUCUCCUUUUUCAACGCCUCUGUGAUCGGUGUUGGAGUUCUUCGCCACUGGGGAAGAAUUCUCACCUUGAAUUGCAGAGGGAUCAACUCAGUGAUGAAGAUUCGCCAUUGAAUCUCUGAGAGUUUGAUGCAAAAAUCAAUGAAUUUGUGUAUGAAUUUUGGUUCUGGAAAUUUCUAGGGUUCUUGUGUUCUUGAUGAACUUGAUGAUUUUUCUGUUUCUGAUCUAACUGAAUGGAGAGAGAAAGUCUCAUUGUGUUUGUUGAGUUGGCGUGUGAUUAAUGGCUUUGAAUCUGACUCACUGUUUAUAUAGUUGACAUGUGUACACUUGAGCCAAUGAAAUUGUGACACGUACCCUGGACUUGCUCACUUGGGCGCUGCUUGCUAUUUUAAGGACCAAUCUGCAAAUUGUGAAAAUGACAAGGACUGGACUGCAAAAUUAAAAAAAACUUGAAAUGAAAUAAAUAAUAAAAAAACAGUUUGGACAAAAAUGCAAUUUUGGGACCUCAAUUGAGGGACCAAAAUGCAAUACAAAAUAAAAUUUGAAUAAAAAACGUAAUUUGACCAAACGUAAAGUGAAACAAAAAUAAAAUUGACAAAACGGACUAAAACGAACCAAUGGCCUAAAUGAGGUACUUCAAAGUAACCUCCCCAUGCCAAAAUUUCAUGUGAAAUGACCAAAAUGCCCCUAGGGCUAAAAAUGACCUAAACUGACUCAAACAGACUUGACACUGACUCAGAUGCAAGUUUGAAAUGAAUUUAAACAGGGUUUACUGACGAAAUGUCAAAAAAUGAAUUUGAAAAGACUCGGAGAUAGUCACAAGGAUGAAGAUGGGUCCCACUGCAGGAAAUGACCAAAAUACCCUUCUGUAUGACCUUUUGCAAAUUUUGAAAUAAACUGUAGAAAAAGCAAUGUAAUGAUUCAGAGGCACUUUUGAAUGACUUACAAGACAAGUAAAGACAUUUUGAAAGGUUUUAUGCAAGAAAAACAUAGGUAAAAUUGUGAUUGAAAAUACUGCGAAGCAGAGACAAUUUGAACUGUGCAGUUGAAAUUUGAUAAUUGACAAAGUUUGAAAUGAAAUUGGGCCCAGUAUUUUUAGGUCCAAAAACAGGGUAUAACAGCUGCCCCUAUUUAAGUUUCUUUGUCUGGAGAGUCAAGAGACGGAGUCUUUGGCUUGACAGGACGAAGAUACUUAAAUAUUAGCAUUUGCACUGUGUUUGGACGUAAAAAUACGCCUACCUAUUUUCAAAUAAUAUGCAUGCCAUGCGUCAUUUGGACUAUGAAUGCAAGACCUCAGGGGGAUUGGAAUUAACAAAAUAUGUCGUAUCCAUUGCGGGAUUGGUAGACAUUGACAAAGAUAGUGAAUAGCAGAGUAACGGGAAACUAGAAACAAGUUGGACAGGUACAAGCUGUUCUUGGAUUCAAACUAGCCACUUGACCGGGGAUGAAACAAACAGACAACUGCGAGUUGUUCUUAUGGAUUCGAACUGGUCACUUCACAGGGGAUAGAGGUUACUGGACAAACAUGAGUUGUUCUUAUGAAUUCGAACUGAUAACUCACUUGGGGAUGUUGGAAAGUGCGAGUUGUUCUUAUGGAUUCGAACUGGUGACCCGACUGGGGAAAUUGACAAGUACGAGUUGUUCUUAUGGAUUCGAACUGGUCACUCGACCGAAAGCAAAGGCAAAUAAACAGGUGUGAGCUUGUUCUUGGAUGCGAACUGGUUACUCCACCGGACAGAAAUAGAUAGACAGGUACAAGCUGCUCUUGGAUUGAGCUAGCCACUUGACCAAACGGAAACAUAUUGACAGGUACGAGCUGCUCUUGGAUUGAGCUGGACACUCGACCGAUAACAUAAGCAAAUUGAUAGGUACAAGCUGUUCUUGGACUUGAACUAGCCACUUGACCAAACAGAAACAUAUUCACUGGGGAUUGAGUUUUGUUUGACGAAAUAUAGAUUGAGAUUGACUUGGCGUCGAUUUGGUUUGAAAGGUAGAAAUUGAUUGAUAUUAUUGGAUCACAAGGCUUUGACAGAGAACCUGACAUGAGUAUUGAAUUGAGACUGAUGUUGACAUUGGAAAUGCAAUAUGCAUGGAUGAUAUAACAGUUCCAUUAAAUGCAUGGGCACGUAAUAUGCAUGAUUAUGCAUGUAUGAAUGCUUGUAAUGCAUGACUGUUGGCAUUUUGUAGGCACGACUUCACGGGGAAGACAAGACAUCAGAGUAUUGGGCACGUAGUGGCUCGUGCUAUAUUACACAUUCUUGGAAAUCCUCUUUGGAGAUGACGUCGUUGGGAGACGUAUCGGAACCAUGGCUGAGGGCAGGUAGCUAUGCAACUUGCUGGGGAUAGAAUCUCGAGAGACUUUACUGGGGAUAAUGCCGUUGUGCUGGGCAUGUUGUGGACAUCGCAUCUGUGGUCAAUGCUUUUUGCAUGCUAUUUUCUCAUUCUCAUUUUUCGCAUCCCAUUUUUGCCUGGAUCGCCCUUUCGGGUUUUCGAUCCACCGGGGAAAUAGAUUCUUUUCAAUGCCCCAUUUUUGCCUGAACUGCCCUUUCGGGUUGUCAAUCCAGCGGGGUGCUCAUUUUUGCCUAAGCCGCCCUUCCGGGUUUUCAACUUAGCGAGCCUUUUCAUUUUCAUGCAUUUUCAUUCUGUUUUUUCAUUCUUGCCAUUGACCACAGAUUAUCUUGGAGGAGAACCUGCUUGUAACAUAUAUUGAAAUAGACAUUAACAUACUCUCGCUCAUGCAUGUUUCAUUUGAACGUACCCUGUUGCUCAGGUUUGCUUUUCAAAACAGACAAAAAGUUUUCAAUUUUCAAAAUGUUUGUUUCAAGCAUUGUCAUUAUCAAAAUAGAAAGAAAAUGUUUUGUAUAUAGCUUUGAAAGUAAAAAGAAAAAUAGAGUUUCAAACAACAGCACAAGCUCAAUUUGAUGUAUAAGAGUGGUGGUCAGCCGAAGGCAUGACUCCACGGAUUCACAAAGCUUGGAAAAUGGUAAUUUUUAUUGGUUGGUGGUACAUUGAACACGGUAACCACUACAGUUCUUAGAAACUUUGAAUUCACAAGUACAGAAGCUUUUGAUGAAGAUAGGCAUUAACAGCUGCAGAUGCCCCAAGGGGGACGGUGGUUGGCCAGAUAUAGUUACUUGCCUUUUGUUUCAAUCUCAUUUUUGCAUGAACCGCCCUUCCGGGUUUUCGGCUCAUCGAGACGCUCAUUCUUGCCUGAGUUGCGUACAAUCUCAGCGAGCUUUUCAUAUUUGUUUUUUUUUUUUUUUUUUUUUGUCCCUUAUUUUUGCCUGGACCGCCCUUUCGGGUUUUCGAUCCAUCGGGAAGCGCAUUUUUGCCUAGGCCGCCCUUUCGGGUUUUCGACCUACCACGCUGUUCUUUUCACAUUUCUAGGCAAAGUAUUUCUUGACUAUAUCGGCAUUCACUGGAUUUGGAAGCUCUACACCAUCCAUGUGUGUAAGGAUUAAAGCACCACCGGAGAAGGCCUUCUUGACAACAUAAGGACCUUCAUAGUUAGGCGUCCACUUGCCCCUUGGGUCGGGUUGCUGGCUUAUCCUCCUUUUCAAUACAAGUUCCCCUACCUUGAAUUCUCGAGGAUGGACUUUCUUGUCAAAAGCAGUCUUCAUUCUUGCUUGAUAUGACUGUCCACGAGCCAUGGCAUCCAUACGUUUUCCCUCAAUCAAAUUCAACUGAUCAUACCGGCUUUGGCACCAUUCAGCCUCAGAUAACUUUGCUUCCAUUAUCACACGGAGAGAUGGGAUCUCCACUUCCAAAGGAAGAACUGCUUCCAUACCAUAUACAAGAGAGAAAGGGGUUGCCCCGGUUGAACUGCGCACGGUAGUGCGGUAGCCAUGCAGAGCAUAGGGUAACAUCUCAUGCCAGUCCUUGUAAGUGGUUACCAUCUUCUGGACAAUUCUCUUGAUAUUCUUAUUGGCGGCCUCAACUGCACCAUUCAUCUGAGGUCUAUAGGGAGAAGAGUUAUGAUGCUCAAUUUUGAAUUCUUCACAAAGAACUUGCACCACAUUAUUGUUCAGGUUGGUACCAUUGUCGGUAAUAAUCUUGCUGGGAACACCAUAUCGACAGAUGAUGUUGUUCUUGAUGAACUUAGCUACCACUUGCUUGGUCACAUUGGUAUAAGAUGCUGCUUCAACCCAUUUGGUAAAGUAGUCAAUUGCCACUAAGAUGAAACGAUGACCAUUUGAAGCCUUCGGUUCAAUUCUUCCAAUCAUGUCGAUGCCCCACAUCGAGAACGGCCAUGGGGAUGACAUAACAUUGAGAGCGUGCGGAGGCACAUGAAUCUUAUCAGCAUAGAUUUGACAUUUGUGGCAUUUUCUGGCGUACUGGUAGCAAUCAUGCUCCAUAGUCAUCCAGUAGUAACCUGCCCGUAGCAACUUUCUUGACAUAGUAUGCCCUGUAGCAUGGGUCCCGAAGGUACCGUCAUGUACAUCAUGCAUUAACUGCUCUGCCUCAUGUUCAUCAACACAUCUUAACAAUACCAUGUCAUAGUUUCUCUUGUACAGAAUAUCUCCAUCUAACAGGAAUCUACUGGCCAAUCUUCUCAAGGUCUUCUUGUCUUGUUUGGAAGCACCCGGCGGAUACUCACGGCUCAGCAAGAACCGUUUGAUGUCGUAGUACCAGGGUUUAUAGUCAACCACAUUUUCGCCAGCCUGAUCGAUCACAUCCCCAAUAGCAAACACAUGGGAAGGUCUUUCAAGGCGUUGCACUUUGAUUACUGGCACAUCAUUCCAAUGGUUUACUCGGAACAUGGAAGAUAGAGUAGCAAGAGCAUCCGCCAUUUGGUUCUCAUCACGAGGAAUAUGAUGCAGCUCAACCUUUGUAAAAUAUGUCAGAAGACGUCUCGCAUAAUCACGAUAAGGAAUCAACUUAGCAUGGUGGGUCUCCCAUUCACCCUUUAUCUGAUUGAUGACGAGCGCAGAAUCUCCAUAGAUGUCGAGGUGUUUGAUUCUCAUGUCAAUUGCUUCCUCGAUCCCGAAGAUACAUGCUUCAUACUCAGCCAUGUUGUUGGUACAUUCGAACAGAAUUCGGGCGGUAAAGGGAAUGUGAUGCCCUUGCGGGGAUACAAUGACUGCCCCAAUUCCUUUGCCAUAAGCAUUGACAGCACCAUCAAAGACUAAACCCCACUUGCUAUUGGGAUCUGGACCUUCAUUAAUCAACGGUUCGUCGCAGUCUUUGGAUUUCAAAUACAUGAUCUCUUCAUCAGGGAAAUCGAAUUCAAUUGGUUGGUAAUCAUCAAGAGGUUGAUAAGCAAGGUGAUUGGCAAGAAUGCUGCCUUUGAUUGCCUUUUGAGUUUUGAACACAAUAUCAUAUUCAGACAAAAGCAUCUGCCAGCGUGCGAUCUUCCCAGUAACGGCCGCUUUCUCAAAGAUAUACUUUAUCGGAUCCAUUCUGGAUAUCAACCAAGUUGUAUGAUUCACCAAAUAAUGGCGCAGGCGUUUGGCAGCCCAAGCUAAAGCACAACAAGUCUUUUCAAGCAUUGUAUAUCGAGUUUCACAAUCGGUGAACUUCUUACUUAGAUAGUAGAUAGCAUGCUCUUUCUUUCCGGUUUCAUCUUGUUGACCAAGUACACAUCCCAUGGAUUCAUCAAAUACUGCCAAAUACAUAAUCAAAGGCCUUCCUUCCACGGGUGGGACAAGGAUAGGUGGUUCCAGCAGGUAAUUCUUGAUGCUAUCAAAAGCUUCUUGGCAUUCAUCAUUCCAUACAACAGGCUGGUUCUUUCUAAGUAGCUUGAAAAUCGGCCCGCAGGUUGCAGUCAUGUGAGAUAUGAAUCGGGAGAUGUAAUUCAAACGUCCCAAGAAACCUCUGACUUGCUUCUCUGUCUGUGGAGCUGGCAUUUCUCGGAUGGCCCGGACUUUAUCAGGAUCGACUUCAAUGCCCUUUUGGCUGACAAUGAAGCCUAAUAACUUUCCGGACCUGACACUGAAUGUACAUUUGUUGGGAUUCAAUCGCAGCUUGUAUUUUCUCAACCUUUCAAACAUCUUUGUUAAAUAUUCAACAUGCUGCUCCUCAUCUGCUGACUUCACAAUCAUGUCAUCCACAUAUACCUCAACUUCUUUGUGAAUCAUGUCAUGAAACAGAGUGGUCAUUCCCCUUUGGUAGGUAGCACCGGCAUUGAUUAGGCCGAACGGCAUCACUUUGUAACAGAAAGUACCCCAUGGAGUGAUAAAAGAUGUCUUUUCUCUAUCUUCAGGGGACAUUUUGAUCUGAUUGUAACCGGAGAAACCGUCCAUGAAGGAGAACACCUUAGAUUGAGCAGUAUUAUCAACAAUCACAUCAAUAUGAGGUAAUGGAAAGUUGUCUUUUGGACUGGCUUUGUUCAAGUCCCUGAAGUCAACACACAUCCGGACUUUACCAUCCUUCUUUGGCACAGGCACAAUAUUGGCAACCCAUUCGGGAUACUCAACUGUCAUGAGGAAACCCGCAUCGAUCUGCUUUUGAACUUCAUUCUUGAUCUUGAGGGCCAUGUCAGGAUGAGUCCUCCUCAAUUUCUGCCUGACGGGAGGACAUUCAGGCUUGGUAGGGAUCCGAUGCUCCACGAUCAUAGGGUCUAGACCUGGCAUAUCUUCAUAGGACCAUGCAAAAAUAUCCGGAUAUUCCCGGAGGAGUUGGAUGAUCUUCUGUUUAACCCCUUCCUCUAGAGUAGCACCAAUCUUGAUUUCUCGCUUGUUUUCCUCGGUACCUAUGUUGAUAAGCUCAAUCUCUUCUUGGUGAGGCUGAAUGGCUUUCUUUUCUUGCUCAAGUAACCGAGUGAUCUCAUACGGUAUGUCAUCACCUUCCUCAUCUUCGGCUUCAUAUACAGGGAAAUCAAAACUUGGAGGAACCGUAGGAUUACUGUGUUCAACGGGUUUAUUAUGGUUCAACCUGCAUAUAAUGAUUGGAUGAUUUUAGAAAGAGCUUUUUUUUUUCAUGCAGAUUUUUGAAACUAAUAAGAAAAUACAGACGUUUUGGUUUUUUCUGGCAUUACCAUUGUUUCCAAGGGAAAAAGCACUAAAAGAAAAGUAGUCGUGGAAGAAACGACAAAAUUUUAUUAACCAACGGCAAUGCCGAAACAAACAUGCCCUUACAGAAAAUAUCACUCUCGCUUUGGGCAGAGCGAGAGGAUUGUUAUUUUGAAAACAAAGCACUAAAGCAACAAGACACAUUACUCAGAAACAUGCAUGAUUGAAGGAAUGUCAAUGGCAUCCCAAUUCGUCGCAAUGCCUCCUGGUGUAACAAAUACAGGCCUGAGACCAGAUCCAGUGGCUUCUUCAGAGAUAACAUUAACAAACCCUGCACUGUGGAAGACUCCUGAGGAAACCCUUGACGAUGGAGAGAACCCGAGACCUUCUUUACGCUUGUUCUCACAGAGCUGUAUCACCUUGCCCCAGCCGGCAGUCUGACCUUCUUGGAUGGCUCUCUGAGCAUCUUUCAAUGAAGCCAUAGCAGCCCCAGCUUCCUUAGACUCUGCACCUUCGAUGGUCAAACCUUGGAAAGCAGUCCCUUCAGCAGACCCUGCUUCAACACAAGAAAAAGAAGACAACUGGCUGACUAAGUAUGCUUCUUCACCAUGGAUUGUAACGAGUUUUCCAUUCUUCACAAAUUUCAACUUCUGAUGUAAGGUGGAAGUAACCGCACCUGCAUCGUGUAUCCACGGUCUUCCCAGCAGGCAACUGUAGGAUGCAUUAAUGUCCAUCACUUGGAAGGUAACCAAGAAAUUCUCAGGGCCAAUAGUUAUCGGCAAGUCUAUCUCCCCCAGCACAUUCUUUCGAGAUCCGUCAAAAGCUUUGACCAAGAAAGUACUUCUCCUCAACGGGGUCCCACGGUAGCUCAACUGAUCUAGAGUUGUCUUGGGCAUUACAUUGAGAGAGGAACCGGUAUCUACCAACACAUUUGAUAUCAUGUCUGAUUUACAAUUCACCGAGAUGUGCAAAGCCAGAUUGUGACUCCUUCCCACUUCCGGCAACUCUUCUUCACUAAACCAGAGGUUGUUACAAGCAGUAAUAUUUCCCACUAUACCACCGAAACGAUCUACCGAGACUUCGUGGUCAACAUAUGCCUGCUCCAGCACUUUCAACAAGGUGUUCCUGUGAGCCUCAGAGCUCAAGAGUAGCGACAAGACAGAUAUCUUCGAAGGAGUUUGCAGCAAUUGAUCAACGAUCUUGUAGUCGCUCCUCUUUAUUAUUCUCAGAAUCUCGUCUAAAUUUGAAUCCUCUAUAGAUUUGCCUGGCUGAUUCACAUCUGUAGCAAUGGGUGAAACAACGGUUGGAGUUGCUUCUUUAACUGGUGGAGUAAUUGGCGUAGCUACCUUCUUCUGAAAUAACGGCGGACGAACCUUCCCGCUUCUCAGCGCUGCAGAAGUCCCUUCGGCAAUAUUGCUUACUGUGGCAAAGGAGGCUAGAGGCACCUCUACUCCAUUUUCUAUCAUAGUGGCAUUGUACUUGUAUGGCACUGCCUUGUCCGAAGCAUAAGGAAUUGGUCCUGGCAACCUUAUUACCAAAGGCUCAGCAUUCUUCUUCAAAGGUACACUCUUGACAGGCGGAUCGUGAAAAACCGGCACAACCACGCAAACAUCACUGACAGUCAGAAGAUUAUCAUUCAUCAAGCUUUGGAUGUCGUCUUGAACAGUAUAGCAGCCCAAAGGAUCACAGAGGCAUCCUAGACACUUGGCAUGAUCAUGGCUGAACAGAGAAGCUUUGCACAGCUUGAUGUGCAGAGGCACCAGAGGAGUAGCAACAUUGCGGACAUCAAGUCUAGGAGCUUCCUCACACACUUCGAUCAUAUUCACAGCGGCAUGAUUUGGUAGUGGAUUGUCAAGGACAUGUGGAACAUUGUUCUCAAAAGUCAGCUUUCCCUGAUCAAUGAGCUUCUUCACGAUAUACUUCAAAGCAUAACACCCCUCGACAUCAUGACCUAAAGCACCUUGAUGAAAGUCACAUUUGAGAUCAGACCUGAACCUUGGAGGCAACGGAUCAGGUGGGGGCUUACCCUGUCUAGUUGUACAAUGUCCUCUCUGGAGUAGAGUUGGAAGCAACUCAGCAUACAACAUUGGUAUAGGAGGAAAAGUUGGCCUAGUAUACUGCUGCUGCUGCUGUUGUUGUUGUUGUUGAACCGGCAACUGUUGUUUCAUCUGUUGGGCAAUUGCAUUGACGGGCACUUGAGGCUGGCCCGGUGGCAAAGGGUACUGAUGAUAAAACGGUGGGAAGAACGGAUGCUGAGAAUACGGCAUAUAUGGGUAUGACGGAGGCAUUUGAGCUGCAUUGAUAGGAGCAACGGUAGCCAUAGAUUGACCGGCUGCAGCUGACACCAUUCCCACUUCCGUUUCUUUCUUCUUGUGGUGUCCAUUACCAUACCUCUUCGAUGCACUCGUAGAAGAUUCAGCUUUCUCAAACACAAUGAUCCCAUCUCUGACUGCUUCCUCAAGACGGGUUCCCAUGGUGACCAUCUCCGAAAAGUUGUUCGGGGCAGCAAUGAUCAUUCUCUCAACAUAAUCUUUCUUCAAGGUCUUUAAGAACGUCUGGGUCAUUUCUUCUUCAUCUAAAGCAGGAGUGAUACGGGCAGCUGCCCCUCUCCACCUUUGCGCAUAUUCACGGAAACUUUCCUCCUUUUUCUGAGAUAGGGACCUGAGAAACUCCCUAUUCGGCUUCAAACGAGUGUUAAACCCGUAGUGGCUCCUGAAAGCGGUGGCCAGCUCAUCAAAAGUAUGGACAUCGUCUUUGCUCAGACUAGUAUACCACUCCGCAGCAUCUUCCAUCAGACUGUCUUGGAAGUAAUGGAUCAUAAGGGAAUCAUUGUCCUUGUAGUUGCCCAUUUUCCGGACGUAUUUGACAAUAUGAUUUUGAGGACAAGUCAGCCCGUUAUACUUGUCGAACUCCGGGACUUUGAACUUUUUUGGAACAUCUACCUUCGAUACCAAGCAGAGGUCCUGGGUUUUAAUGGAGUCUCCAUUUCCCCUGUUGGCCUUAAUUUCCCGUCGGAGCUCUUUGGCAAGUUCUUCCAUUCUCUCUUCCAUAGUUCCGGUUGUGGUAAUACUCCCGUGGUGUGCGUUGGCAUGGACAAAUAGAGGCACCGCAUUCACAAUGGGCUCGGUAACAGUUGUUGCAGCUUGAGUCAAGGCGGUACUAAUAGGAGUUAAGUUUGCCCCUGGGAUUGGGCCACUGUUGGUAGUACCAGAGGUCCCUGCCCCUGUGUUAGCAGUAUAGUACAGCGGAAGUCCGUAAGGAUACCCGGAUGGCAUGAUAGAGCGGGGAUCAGUUGUUACAGUAGGAGUCACAUUUGCAGCUGUAGAAACUACAGGAACUGGUUGUUCCUGAGCAGCCAACAGAGCAGUCAUAGCAUCAUGAGCUUUGGCCAAUUCCUCCCUUAGAGAUGCCAAUUCGGUACGAAGCUGUGUGUUCUCUUCUUCCAUAGCCCUUUUCUUUCUUCUGUAUUCUCUGGUUCGAUCAAUUCUAUCAGGUUCGUAAACUCUCUGAGCACGAGCCACUUUUCACACUGCGGCAGAGAAACCAGGAGGUGGUAAGCACUUGGAAGCCUUUGUGACCAAUGCAUGAUGCAUAUGAUGCAUGAUGUGCAAAUGCAAAUGCAAAAGACUUAUUUUCUCAUCGAAGGAUUUUUAAACAAAUUAGAAAUCUUGCAAAUAAACAAAACUACAUAGUAUUCUCAACAGAAAGACUUUGAAAUAAACAUAUGAAGCCCUCAAGCAUAGGAAGCAGUCGGAAGAUCAUCGGACUCGGAAUCUGAAUCACAGUAUCUGGCAAAGAAGUCUCGUCGUCCUCUGGCUCUCUUGGAAUCCCUCAUAAGCAGCUCGUCUUUCUCUUCCAAUUCCCUCCGGGCCUUAGCUAGCUCUUUCUUCAACAUUAAAUUCUCAUGAGUCUUCUGCUCAUCUCUACCAUCCAAAGUCAUGAUUAGAUUCUCGGCUUGAUUAUACCGAGCUUUCCACACUUGCUUCUCACGACUCUCCAUAGCUAGAUGCUCCUGAUACAUAUCCUGAGUCGCGGGGAGUAGAGGUAGAGGCAUAGAUGGAGUAGACGAAGACACGUAUCUCAUAGCUGGAUAAGGCAUACCAAUCUCCUCAGCUCGAUCUAUCACCCACUGAGUAUAGGCCUCAUGAGCAACACCGGAUCUCACACCUAGAUGCUUCACACUCUUCCUUCGAACCUUGGACCAAGCAUCCAUGAAAGCUUUCCUUUGUCCGGUAGGAGCAUUCGCAUAGAAGAAGAACUCUGGAGAUGUAGCAAGAUUGAUGGGCUUCGACUUCAUAGGGAAACCAAACUGUCUCAUAGCAAGCUCGGGAUUGUAGUUAAUUCCUCCCCGAGUACCAAGAAGAGGUACAUUGAGAAAGUCUCCACAACCCAUAAUGAUUUCCUUCACUUGAGCGGCAGGAGUGAGCCAGACGACCUCAUUAGGAGUGAGGGCCAUAAUCCGCUGCGAGUAGGACCAGUUCUCCGAGUUAUCAUGGAAGGAACUCGGAAGGUGCGAAAUAAACCACCUAUACAAAAGAGAUGUGCAGCAAAGAAUAUACCCACGGCCCUUGAGAGUCCUGUCAUGAAUGGCGUGGUAAGUAUCCGCUAGCAAAGUAGGAACCGGGUUCUUGGAAUGAAAGAUCUCGAUAGCAUUCAUGUCCACGAAGUUGUCGAGGUUCGGAAAGAGAAUGAGCCCGUAGAUAAGCAAAGCAAGAAUAGCCUCAAGUGUAUCCUGACGAGUAGUACCGAGAUUAGCCUGAUCAAGAAGAUACUUCGAAGUAAACCCCCGGAUGUGAGACUUGGUAAUAAGAUGGUUGGAGACGUCGGAAGUCUUGAGGUAGAGAUCCUUAGCAAUAACCAGAGGAGUAAGAGGAGUCCCAGGACCGGUGAAAGGCGUCUUCUCGGCUAUAGGUAAACCCACUAGAUUGGAGUAAGCCUCAAGAGUAGGAACCAACUGGAAGUCCGGGAAAGUGAAGCAACGGAAGCUCGGAUCAUAAAAUUGCACCAGAGUGUGCACUAGCUUCUCGUCCACAUCGGUUCGGAGCAAAGUAAGCAAUCCCCCAUACCGGAGUCGGAACCCUGUUUGGCUCUUGACCUUGAGCGCCAACUCUCUCAAACUAACCAAAUCCACUUCCUUGAACUUGUAGCACUUAGUCUUCUUCAUACCUGUGAUUAUUUACAAAAAAUUUCCAUUUGUUUAAGUCCUUCGAUGAAUGCAUGAAAAAUGUUUAUGCAUGAAUGCAUGUAUGCAUGAUUGUGUUGUUUAGUUACAAUGUGGGUUGAGAUUCAAAGUAACAAGGCCACGGAUGGACACGGUGUCCGGUGAACUAAGGCUUUGGAUAGUAGUAACCAAGGUUCUAACACAGUUCCCAAACUGCAACCUCUCUCACAUAUAUCAUGGUAGUACAGGACGACACCCGUUCCAUGUUUAUUUGUGAGAAGGUCUAGCUUGAGUGUAGUAUCGCGUGACGACUAAAGUUUGAGACAACACUCAAUUUAGCCACCGCACUACGUCCUAAGAAGGCUAGGAUGGGUUUGGUAACUACGGUUCAUAGCUUCGUCGAACAAUUGAAAGUGAAGUGCCUAAGCAUGACAACACACGCCGACAAUACCACCUUCAAAAUGCCUCAGCUAUGUGAGAUUGAUCGCAUAAUCCAAUACACGAGGCAACCCCCGGAUCGAAUUGUCGAUUAUAUCUCUACCUAAACAUAAGUUCACUCAGCCCGGGUAUAGGACUUUUGAUAUUCUCACCCCACACGUCAAAUGAAAAUAAACAAGUAUUCACAUGUGUAGGCAAUAAAAUAAAGCAUAAAUAUACACUAAGGAAAACUAGGCGCGACCCGCUAAAAAGAAUUUCCCCAGUGAAGUCGCCAUUUCUGUUAUCAUGGUUUUUGGGUGCCAAGCCAUUAAUUGGACUUGUACCUUUCGACCGUUGAUAUCUCUAUUUUUUCUUGGGAAGGGCAAAAUUGAGAAAAAACCCUUAGAUUCUAAGUUCGGGGGUCGGUUUUACUACGGGAAGGUGUUAGGCACCCGGAGUAACUAUAGUCCUCUAUAGGAGCCGUUUUCCUAAGUCUAUAUUCACGCUUAUUUUUACUUACUUUUGAAGAUGGGAGGUUUAUUUAGUUAAGAAUGAGGGGAGAGAAGUUGUAAGACUUUUUAAUUUUAUUUCGGCUUGGAUGAGUUUUGACUCAUUGCCUACGUACCGUUUUACGGGAUCAAAACCGGCGUAGUUCUUGCUAAAAAAAAGACUUGUUUUUCUUUUGUUUUAAUUGUUUGAUUUUAAGUUUUAAAAAAAGGUUUUGAAGAAGGAGAUUGGGAGGCUUCAUGAGCAUUAGAUUUAGCAAAAAAGGUGAGGUUUGAUUAGUGAUUUAGAAAGAAAGUCUAAAUGAUUAAGAUGAAUUGAAUUUUUCUUAAGAAAAAAGAGAAAGGAAAAAAAAAAUGAAGUGUUGACUUCAUACUUAUUAUGAAAAUUUUUGAAGUGAAGUUCAAUUGCUUUUUUUGAAAAAAAGAUGGAUUUUCCCUAAGUGUUCAAACCUAAGCGCUUAUCUAACCAUACAAUCCUAUGCAUACAUCUAAGGUGAGUGUGUGCGUGUCGGUGCGUCAUAGUGUCCAUAGUCCAUAUUACAAAAAUUGCCUAAAUACAUUCUAUGGCCCCUUUGCCAAGCUACAAACCAAUGAUAACAAAUUACAUUACCAAAUGAAUUAAAACUUGCAAAAAAAACAAAUGCUAGGCUAAAAAGUGGAGGGAAUGCUGAGUUUUUAUGGAGAUUCUGUUAGGUUUCUUCGGAAACACUUGGAUUUGGCUUUUGCUUGUUGAUUUCUGGCUUUGAACCGAAAAUAAAUCGGUGAUUCUUCUUUUCUCACUGAUUCCGUUUCUUCAUCUUCUUCGCCGGCUUAAAACCUUGCUUCUUUCCCUUUUCUUCUCCUUUUUCAACGCCUCUGUGAUCGGUGUUGGAGUUCUUCGCCACUGGGGAAGAAUUCUCACCUUGAAUUGCAGAGGGAUCAACUCAGUGAUGAAGAUUCGCCAUUGAAUCUCUGAGAGUUUGAUGCAAAAAUCAAUGAAUUUGUGUAUGAAUUUUGGUUCUGGAAAUUUCUAGGGUUCUUGUGUUCUUGAUGAACUUGAUGAUUUUUCUGUUUCUGAUCUAACUGAAUGGAGAGAGAAAGUCUCAUUGUGUUUGUUGAGUUGGCGUGUGAUUAAUGGCUUUGAAUCUGACUCACUGUUUAUAUAGUUGACAUGUGUACACUUGAGCCAAUGAAAUUGUGACACGUACCCUGGACUUGCUCACUUGGGCGCUGCUUGCUAUUUUAAGGACCAAUCUGCAAAUUGUGAAAAUGACAAGGACUGGACUGCAAAAUUAAAAAAAACUUGAAAUGAAAUAAAUAAUAAAAAAACAGUUUGGACAAAAAUGCAAUUUUGGGACCUCAAUUGAGGGACCAAAAUGCAAUACAAAAUAAAAUUUGAAUAAAAAACGUAAUUUGACCAAACGUAAAGUGAAACAAAAAUAAAAUUGACAAAACGGACUAAAACGAACCAAUGGCCUAAAUGAGGUACUUCAAAGUAACCUCCCCAUGCCAAAAUUUCAUGUGAAAUGACCAAAAUGCCCCUAGGGCUAAAAAUGACCUAAACUGACUCAAACAGACUUGACACUGACUUAGAUGCAAGUUUGAAAUGAAUUUAAACAGGGUUUACUGACGAAAUGUCAAAAAAUGAAUUUGAAAAGACUCGGAGAUAGUCACAAGGAUAAAGAUGGGUCCCACUGCAGGAAAUGACCAAAAUACCCUUCUGUAUGACCUUUUGCAAAUUUUGAAAUAAACUGUAGAAAAAGCAAUGUAAUGAUUCAGAGGCACUUUUGAAUGACUUACAAGACAAGUAAAGACAUUUUGAAAGGUUUUAUGCAAGAAAAACAUAGGUAAAAUUGUGAUUGAAAAUACUGCGAAGCAGAGACAAUUUGAACUGUGCAGUUGAAAUUUGAUAAUUGACAAAGUUUAAAAUGAAAUUGGGCCCAGUAUUUUUAGGUCCAAAAACAGGGUAUAACACAUCCCAUUUAGCAUUCCCUCCACUUUCUUUAGCCUAGCCUUUAUCUUUUGCAAGUUUUAAUUCAUUUGGUAAUGUAAUUUGUUAUCAUUGGUUUGUAGCUUGGCAAAGGGGCCAUAGAAUGUAUUUAGGCAAUUUUUGUAAUAUGGACUAUGGACACUAUGAUGCACCGACACGCACACACUCACCUUAGAUGUAUGCAUAGGAUUGUAUGGUUAAAUAAGCGUUUAGGUUUUAAACACUUAGAGAAAAUCCAUCUUUUUUUCAAAAAAAAAUAAUUGAACUUCACUUCAAAAACUUUCCUAAUAAGUAUGAAGUCAACACUUCAUUUUUUUCCUUUCUUUUUUUCUUAAGAAAAAUUCAAUUCAUCUUAAUCAUUUAGACUUUCUUUCUAAUCACUAAUCAAACCUCACUUUUUGCUAAAUCUAAUGCUCAUGAAGCCUCCCAAUCUCCUUCUUCAAAACCUUUUUUCUCAAAACUUAAAAUUAAACAAUUAGAACAAAAAACAAGUCUUUUUAGCAAGAACUACGCCGGUUUUGAUCCCGUAAAACGGUACGUAGGCAAUGAGUCAAAACUCAUCCAAGCCGAAAUAAAAUCCAAUUCUACUUCUUCUCACCCCCAUUCUUCACUAAUCAUACUUUCUUUUUUACAAAUAAGCAAUAAAACUAAAGCGUAGAAAUAAACUUAGGAAAGCGGUUCUUAUGGAGUACCAUAAUCGCUCCGGGUGCCUAACACCUUCCCGUAGCGAAAACGACCCCCGAACUUAGAAUCUAAGGGUUUUUCUCAAUUUUGCCCUUCCCAAGAAAAAAUAGAGAAUAUCAACGGUCAAAAGGUUCAAGUCCAAUUAAUGGCUUGGCACCCAAAAACCAUGAUAACAAUAAGAAACUGAAAUAGUGUAUUUUGUUUAUAACCCUCCGUCCCAUAAAAACCGAGCCAUUUGCAAAAAAAUAUUGUCUCAGAAAAAUUGACUCAUUUCACUUUUCAAUACAAUAUUAAUUACUUUUUUUUUCCUUUCAAUUAUAACACUAAUUAAUAUUACUUUCACCACUCCCAAUUUAAUAUAUUCUAAUUUGCAUUUAUGAUAAAGAAGAAUGCACCAAUAGUUACUCAAAACCAUUUUUCUCUCUCUUUUUACUUAUACAUAUUUUCUUAAUAAGUGUGAAAUGAGCUAAGAGCUGAGCUCGAGCUCAGUUAAAAUGGGACGGAGGAGGAAUGUAAUUCAAAGUAACUCAAUUUUAUGCUAUUUAUUUAUUUAUGCUGAAGCCUCAUUAUAAUAGUAUAUAGUGAUAUGUGUGAGAAGCAUAGGAAAAGUACAUAUGGUGAUGAAUGAUGGAACAAGCUUAAAGUCAUAAUUAUUAUUGUUCAAUCAUAAAUAGAUGGUCCCCCAAUUAGAAAAGUAUUUAUGAUCCCCCAUUUUAAAAUGACCCUCGUCCUUUUUUAGAAUUUUAAUCUUAAUAAUGGUGAUAUAUCAUAAUUAAAUGGAUGCAUUUAGGAAGUUUAUAAAUAAUUUUAUAGGUAUUGAUGAUUUUACAUUAUCGGAUCGUAUGACACAUCAUUUAAAAUAUGUCAUGUUAUAGUUUUUUAGUUUAAAAAUAUGAAGAAAAAGAUAUGUCACGUCAGUACUUUUGAGUCCAAAAAUAUAAAAAUAGGCCAAAACGAAUUAUUCUAAAAUUUGGGACAAAUUUCAUGAAAAUAAAGACCUAGAGUGUAGUUAAGACUUAUAACUAUUUUAAACAUUCCUUAAAAAAACUAAUCUAUAAAAUGACAUACGAUUAAUUAUAAAUAUGAUUGACAUAUACUCUAAAAAAGGAAAUGUUUGCAUAUGGUAUUUUAAACACCGUUCUCGUGAACUUAACUCAAUUGAUACGGACAAUGCUUAAUAUGUGCAAGGUCUAGGGUUUUAACCUUGAUCACAAAAAAAACACCAAUAUUUUUUUUCGGGGAUAUUAAACACCAAUAUUCUUUGGAUACUUCUACCCUAAUAUCCAUUACUAAAGUAUUUUAAAUUAUUUAUUUAAUUUUUGUGUGGCUUUUGAUGGUCUAAUCCUAAUUUGUAGAGCAACAUGCAAAUAAUUGGACUAUAAAAGUUACGUGCACAAUUUUUCAUCAAGAAUUUUUUGGCAGCACGCAUUGAAAAUUUGUGUCUCAUUAAGAAUUUGUUAGCACUACGCAUGCAUAUUCUUUUGGGCCUGUCAUCCUGUGUAUUUUCAUUUUCAACAGUAAUUUGUCGGCACUACUAAGCAUCUAUAUCUAUCUUUGUUUUGAAACAGCAAAACUUAUAAAAAAAUCCACUCUUUAGACAAAAACGAACAAAUACCGACAAUUCAAAAACUACAAAAUAAAACGUCAUAUGUAGGCAGAACACAAAAAAAACACCAUAACAUAUCUCACCUCACCAAACAAAAACCUACGUUCAACCGCCAUAAGAAAACAAUCACCAAACCCAACUUCAUCACUCAAACCAAACUCCAUCGCAAACGACCACUGAAAACAAAAUCCAUAAACAUCCAUCGUCCGCUACUCACCCCAAUACCUCCAAAAACCAUCUUAAACAUCAUCAUCUUCUCAUCACCAUAACCUAGCCCAAUUUAACACCCGAAAAGUCCUAUUCCAACUCUCCUUCGGGUUCUACCACCCCUCAUCCCCUGGUCCACCAAAGAAAACAUCAUAAAUAUCCCAAAAUAAACUUGACUCACCGUAUAUUUAUAUCUAUAUCUAUAUCUAUAUCUAUCUAUAUAUCAAUUAAUUCAGGCUCUCAAGUUAUAUCUAUUAAUUUAGGCUCUCAAGUUAACCUCUUCACAACUCACCAUGUUAUAUAUAUCAUAUAGUCUAAUUUUGGCCACAUCAAAUAAAUUCUAAUGUGACAUCUUCCAAAACACACCAUUCCUUAUUCUCUCGUUGCCUUGCUUCAUAAUUUAUGUAUUAUUACAUCUCAUUCCCUUACGAAUUCACAAUUAAAUGACGUUUACUACAUGUCAUAACUCUCAUGUAAUAACGUCAAAUAAGAUGCAUGACCUUAAAUGUCAAAUCAUUAUUAUUAUUAUUAUGAGAGAAGAAGUGAAUGAAUAAUAUUCUCAUUAUUGAUCAAAUGAUAGAGGUUACAACUUAUAUAGUCAUGGUCUAGGAAUACAGUAAUACAAUAGUGGUAACAUCGAAUAUAAAAACUAAGAUAGCUAACUCUACUUGAUAAUAACUCUCAUGUAAUGUCAAAUAAGGUGCAUAACCUUACAUGUCAAAUCAUUAUCAAAUUUAUUACGAAAUUAAUCAAGAACCAAACCUUGAUCCAACAUGGAACUCAAUCAACAAUCAACCCACUUAUUUUGUCGUUAACAUGUUUGUAUGUUUUUUUCUUUUGUUCUCUUUGUAUCAUUUGAUUAUUACUUUAUUGUUUAGAUUCUUUAGAUUGAAUGUGUUUUUUCCUUCAUCUCCUAUGCAAUUAAUAUAUGGACAUGUUUUAAUUCGGUAAUAACGGUGUGCUCAUCAAAUUGGCAAAAUGUUUCCACAUAAAAAAAAAUAAAAAAAUAAAAAAUGUAGCGGUUCAUGUCUAAUAUGAAUCCGGUUAAUAAAAUAAUAUUUUUUUCUCUCCAAUUUUUGCUAAACAUAGGACACCAUUGUUAUUUUUUGCAUGUUAUUUUUUAAGCGACACGUUUUAUAGAUUUUUUUUAGGGAACAUUGUAUGGAAUUUUAGGAAAUGGAUCUCGCCAACUUAAUUUUUUUGUCAGGUUGUCUAGUGGUUCGAGUUCACACAUAUUAGAGAUAUAUAGUUUAGUUACAAGUAGUACUAGUCCUGGUAGUAUAUAUAGUUGUAACCACCUCAUAAGUGGGAUACUUUUCACUCAUUAGUAAUAUUUCAUUUCUAUCAAUACAAAGAGUUUGUUAGAUUUUGCUCCUUCGAUCUAUGGAUGCCAUGUUUCCUAACAACACAUUUUAAAUGUGGUGAAAUAGAGUAUCCGAGUUUAAACCCUAACCCCUACAUAUAUUAUGCGAUGUCCUUAUCAAUUAAGCUAUGUUCACCGGAAUAUUUCUUUCUGUUUUCACAUCUCAACCAUCAUAUAACCUCUCUCUCAAAUUCCAAUAUCAAUGUCAUCUCCUCUUUAUAAUUUAAUGGUCUAGAUUCCCACACUAAUUCUUCAACUUCUUUUUUACCAUGUAUCAUUUUUGUCACAUCACUUAUUUUUCAACAUGCAAGACUUUAUUCCAUUUUGCAUAUCCUACACUCCAUGUUUGUAAUUGCAGACGAUCUAAUUUCUCAUAAAUGAUCUCAACCUAGGAUCAUGGAUAUGGUCAAUAUCAUGGAUACCGCUAGAAAAUUCAUUUGUAGACCACAAAUGAAUUUUCUAACGGUAACCACAAAUGGAUUUAUGGUUAUAUAUAUAUAUAUAUAUAUAUAUAUAUGCGCGCACGCUGGGGGCCAUGAGUGAGAUGAGAACUGAGGGAGAAGGAUCCACAUAUGCAAUGGUUGCUAGUGAAAAUCCUUCCUUAUCUUAGUUUCAAAGGAUUUAUUCCAUUGCAUCUAUAUAGAAAAAGAGAAAAACUAAAAAUGUGUAGUUCUGUUAUUGAUCAAACAAAUAGCUAACUAAAACUAUAUUAACUAUACCCUCUAGAUGCAGACAAAUAGAAUGCUCAUAUACAUAUUCCCACCAAUAUUCUUCACUUCAAAUGAAUAUAACUAAAUGUGUCGGGGUCGUUUAGGUUUCAAAUAUCAACAUGUGUCGGACACUAAACACACAUCAAUUUGAAGUGUCAAUGCUACACACUUUAAAACCUUUGACCUAAGCAAGCUUACCAUGUCUAUUUUACAUUAAAACUGUUUUCCAUGCUAGAGUAAAACAUUUACUUAUGAUUUGUAUUUAAUUAGUUAGUUAUUCCUAACAAAACUAUAAAUCUUGUAGAAUAGAGAAGGAUGUUAGUUUAAACCUGUACACACGGCAAAAUGAUUGUUUUGCCUUAAUUUAUCCUUCACAUGAGAAUGGAAUUCAAGAUACUGUGGAAAAAACCUAACUCACCCAACUGCAAUUAUUCAAAGCUAUAAAAUUCAACUAAUAAAGAUUUAAAUACAUGCCAUAUAACUAUCUAAUUCAAUCCAUUUAAUAUUAGCAAUAACCACUAUUUUAUUUUAAGAAUUCUUGCACAAGAUAUGUUCAAUUCCAUCAUCAUAAACUGAUUACUUAUUAGCAUCAUCUCUUAAAUUCAAUGUAAUACUAAAUUGCAUAAAAAAAAGUCACUUAGGUUUGAUUUUGUUUAAGCAAAACCUCCUUAAUCACUUUUUCCAAAUUCAUGUAUGAACAACCACCAGGUCUCGUGUCCUCCUCCGCCUUCGUCUUCAUCUCAAUUAUCUUUUUCCACAUCUUCUUUCCUUUCUCCCCCUCCAUCAAUUCAUUGACCAAAUUCUCUACCUCAUCUCUCUUCACAUUGGUGUCAAUUUCCAUGCCAAUCUCCCAUGUAUUGCAAAUAUAUCUGCAGUUUGCUGGCUGAUCAGCAAAAAAUGGCCAACACAACAUUGGAACUCCAGCAGAUAUGCUUUCAGUGGUUGAGUUCCAUCCACAAUGAGUCAAGAAUCCACCAAUUGAAGGAUGGUUUAAUACUUGCUCUUGCGGGCACCAGCCCGCGAUUAGGCCUCUAUCUGAAAUUUCAUUGACAAACUCCGAUGACAAAACAACUGAGCCACCGAUGACAAGAUCGGGCCUAAUGAUCCACAAAAAGGGUUGCUUGCUAUUUGCUAAACCCCAUGCAAACUCUAACAGUUUUUCUGCCGUCAUAACUGUCAUGCUCCCAAAAUUCACAUAAACAACGGACCUCGGUUCCUUGGAUUCAAGCCAACCAAGACACUUGUUAUCUUCUUUCCAAAGAUUGGUACUUAAACUUGCCAAGUGAUUAUGUGGACUUUGACUUAAAAGUGAAGAUAAAGGGCCGAUACCACAAAUAUUUGGGAACGUCGAGGAGAGAACAUUCAUUACAUCCUUCUCAAGUUCACUAGAAGUAUUAAAAAUAAAAGCAGACGCUUUGUGAGCCCUUCCUGCUGCUUCAACGAUAAAUUCUACCAUCGAAUCAUUUGUAUCUGUAAUCCUUAUAAAGUCAGGCAGAUCCUUCAGUCGAAAGUUCUGCAAUCCUGGAAUACAAUCCACUUUAGUGUCCAAAUAUCCGUUUGUCAGAUAACUCUCAUCUACAUGUCAAAUUUAUAAAAGUUGUUAGCUGGAAAUAAAAUCUCCAUACUCCUAAUACAUGUCAUUUGAUUUUGAACACUUUAACUAUUCUACAUAUAUGAAGAAAGCAAGAAGAUUAAUUGUUACCUUUUAGUGGUAUGAGACCUUUAUCCAACAAUGUACUAAAAUGAAUAAAAGUCAAAAAUGUACAUGCAUUGGAUGGACUAAAGAAAACAGAAGGGAUUGAAAGUUCUUCAGAAGCUUGUAUGGUAAAAGACAUGCCAAUAUCAGAAACUAUGCAAGUAACUGGAGGGACAAGACCAGAUGUUGCAGAGUCAUUUAGUCUAGCAAGAAGUUCGCGGAAAGGUUGUAGGAAGUUCUUUCUGAUUGAUUUACAAAGAGCGUAAAUGUCUUGACUAACAUCGCCAUCACCAUCCGUUGGAGUUAAACCAUCCGGAAUAGUCUCAAAGCUAAAAUCAGUGAAACCAUCAAAGGCAUUUGGACCUCUUGACUUGAGCAACCGUUUGUGGUUGUAUUCAGUGUUUACAUAGGUUAUGUGAAAUCCUCUAAGGUGAAGAAGUUUUGCUAGUUUCAACAAUGGAUUGAUAUGGCCUUGAACUGGAUAUGGAAUUAACACAGCAUGUGGUUUUUUAUCACUCAUUUUUGAGUUUUUGUGUUUGAAUGUUGAGCUAAGGGAAGCCAAUGGUUUAAUAAAGAUAAAGCCAAUGUUUCUUGGAUUUGUGUAAAAGAAGAUAAGAGACAAAAGUCAAGGAAAGCAAACUCAAAUUCUAAGUAAUAUGUAACACAAUAAUUGAUACAUACUUAUCAAGUCACCACUUUUUGUUAUAGAAGGAAAACAAUUUUUCAUUAAAAAGUUUAUUGAACAAACUUAAGCAUGCCUUUUGGUUUGCGGUGGCGAGAAUUGAUUUGAAUGAAUUUGUUUGAUAAAAUUAGUAUCAGGUUAAAAGUGCGUUGAAUAUAAAAUAAUUUGUGUUUAUAUAAAUUUACGUAAAAUUGAUUUGAACUAUAAAUUGAAGACUAAAAAUCGAUUAUAAAAACAAAAUUUUGAUAUCUUAACUUUAAAUUACGAGCAAUUUGGAGACAAAAUCAAUUCUAUUUAAUUUGAGAACACAUAACCAUAGGGUCUGACUAGGCUUAUCUAAGAUCCCUAAUGUAACCAACUUGCAUCUAAUCAUAACUAACUUAUAACUAUCUUGAAAAAUAUCAAACUAAUUUUAACAAAUCUGAAACUAUAUCUAACACAUACUUGCAUGGAAUUGCAACCAUUCAGUAGAAAGAUAUUAUCAAACAAAAUCUUCAUAUGCUUUAGUCAAAAAAAAGGAAAAUCUUCAUAUGCUUGUGGACCAACUGAUCCAUACGUUUCAGUUUCAAAAUUGAACUAGAUGACACUUUUAUUCAAGUAAGUGUAAGAUAGUUCUGACAUCAAAGAUUUUUGUUGUACAAAGAAAAUAAUCAUGACCACUUAUUUAUUUUAUAAUAGUCUAUUGGCUAUUAUUUUCCAUGCUUGAAUCAGUCAGACAUUGGACAUCACAAAAAAAAAUUGUCCUUUUCAACAAAGGCUCAAGAUUAUCUCCAAAGUCACAAUUGCAUAAAAGCCAAAUUUACUUUUAUUGUGCAGAGAAAAGUGGAUGUAUAUUAUCAACACUGCCUUCCAUAAGGGCUUCGUGUCCUCUAAUUUUUUUUUUUACUAGUCUUUGUUAUGUCCUUUAUCAUGUCUAUGAGGUAUCAACUCAAUGGUAAGAGUUUGAGCUUUUAACCUCAAGGGAAAAAGUACAAUUCCCCUUAAUAACAGUGGUAAAAAUGCUCAUUGUUGUAACUUUAAUUAAUAAACCCUUAUAUUGACUAAUAGGAAUGUUAAAAUAUUUCUUGAAAUCUCAUGUUGAAAGUUUGUUCUUCUUUUCGGUUUGAUUAGUGUUCCCAUGCACUAGGCGCAGUUGUUUGUUGUUUUCAGCUUGUUGUAAUUUGUAGCUUGCGCAAGGCGAAGGAUAUAGCUGACUGAGGCGCAGGUGUGCAUCAAGAUCUAUAGAUAAGCAGGUUUUGCAUCAGUUUUCAGGGUAAAAAAGUGGGAAUUCUAAGGUAACAAAAGAGGGAAUUUGUAGGGUUAAAAGUUCACAUAUAUAGAUAAGAAUUUGUAGGGGACAUUGAUGAUUUCACACAAUUUGCAUUUGCAUCAUCGGUGAAUGUUUUUGAAUGUUCAUAGAGGAAAGAAACUUUGAAUUCAAAUGCUUUCAAAUCAAUCUAUGCAACAAGAAGCUGACAAAGUAGUGCAGAGAAAUUUUAUAAACGAGCUAAAGAAGAAUAUAAAUUUAAUAUUAUUAUGAUUUUGAAGUAUUGUCUUACUUCGAAGUAUGAACAGCAAUGUACCAUACUUAAGAACAUAGCAAGACCUAAAAUACAAAUGAUUUGUUCCUAACAAAACUAUAUAUAUUGUAUAAAAGUAACUUAUGUUUGAUUUUGUUUAAGCAACACCUCCUUAAUCACUUUCUCCAAGUUCAUGUAUGAACAACCUCCAGGUCUCGUGUACACCUCCGCCUUUUUCUUCAGCUCCAUGGCCUUUUGCCUCAUCUUCUUUCCUUUAUCUCAGGACAUCAAUUCAUUGACCAGUUUCUCCACGUCCUCCCUCUUUACAUUUGUAUCAAUUUCGUUUCCAAUCUUCCAUUCAUUGCAAAUAUAUCUUCAGUUUGCUGGCUGAUCUGCAAAAAAUGGCCAACACAACAUUGGAACUCCAGCACAUAUGCUUUCAGUGGUUGAGUUCCAUCCGCAAUGAGUCAAGAAUCCACCGACUGAUGGGUGGUUCAAUACUUUCUCUUGUGGACACCAACUUGCUAUUAGUCCUCUAUCUGAAAUUUCUUUCAAAAAUCAGAUGAGAAAACCACCGAGCCACCAAUGACAAGAUCAGGCCUAAUGAUCCAUAAAAAUGGUUUCUUGCUGUUGGCCAAACCCCAAGCAAACUCUAAGGCUUCUCUUGAGACUUAACAGUGAUGCUGCCAAAAUUUACAUAAACAACAGAUCCUGGUUCUUUUGAUUCAAGCCAUUCAAGACAUUUAGUAUCUUCUUUCCAAAGAUUACAGUCUAAAGAUGUCAAGUGAUUUUGUGGACUUUGAUUUACAAAAGAAGCUAAUGGACCAAUUGUGUAUAGAGAAGGGAACAUAGAAUAGAAAGCAUUCAUAACAUCACUCUCAAGUUCAUUAGAAGUAUUGAAUACCAUACCAGAAGCUCUAAGACAUUUAUCUGCCACUUCAGUGUUAAAUCUUAUCGUCAAGUCAUUAGGAUUUUUUGUCUUUAUUAACCUAGGAAGAUCCUUCAAUCUGAAGUUUUUCAAACCUGGGAUCCAGUCAACUUUCGUGUCCAGAUAUUCAUUUGUUAGAUCACUCUCAUCUGCAUGUCAUAAUUGCAAAAAUCAAUAGCUUAAAGUCAUAUGUAUAAAUAUAUAUCAUGGUUUAAAAUCACAUUAACAAUAAUAAUUUUGCCUGUGCUAUCAUAUUGAUAUUGCAUAUAAUCCCAAUCAAAUCUGGCUGAUGAAACCUCAAUUGUGAUUAUAGAGACAUCGCAACCUUGAUGUUCGGCCCAUAUUGUGACCGCAAAGCUUUUUUAAAAACCAUAACAUACACACAAAAACACACACAGAUCUCCUAAAAAGAAAAAGGGAACAGAAAUGAUUACCUUUGAAUGGUAGUUGACUAUUCUGAUACAUUUUAGGACUGAGCAAACAAGCCAAGAAAUAACAUGCUCUACUUGGGGAAAAAAGAACAACUGGGAGUGCAUGUUCUUCAGCAGCAGCUACUGUAAAUGGCAUGUAGCAAUCAGAAACUAAGCAAGUGACUGGGGGGAUAAGACCAGCAGUGGCAGAGUCUUGAAGUUUAGCAAGAAGUUCAUCAAAGAAGUGGUGAAAGUUCGUUAUGAUUGAUUCACCAAGAGAGUGUAGGUCUUGACUAAUAUCACCAUCACCAUCCUUUGGAGUUAAACCAUCUGGUAUAGUCUCAAAGUUAAAGUCAGUGAAACCAUCAAAGGCAUUUUCACCUCUUGAUUUAGCAAACGUUUGUGAUUGUAUUCAGUGUUAACAAAGGUUUAUGUGAAAGCCUCUUAGGUGAAGCAGUUUUGCUAUUUUCAACAAUGCAUUGAUAUGACCUUGAACUGGAAAUGGAGUUAAUUAACACUGCAUGUGGCCUUUUCUCUUCAAAGUUGGUCAUGUUUGAUAUUUUUCUUAUGUAAGAAAACAGAGAAAAAACUGAGGUGAAAAAUCUAUGAGGCCUCUAUAACAAUGAGUAAGUUUUGUUACAUAUCUAUUAUCUAUUAUAUAGUAUAAAAAAAUUCUUAAGAAUAGAAAAACCAUUUUUUUUUAAUAAUUCAAUUACUGUCUAAUUCAUGUUUAUCUAAUUUUUAGUAUUUUAAUAAUUGAGAAGAUAAUAAUAUUUUUUUUAAUGUUGACGUUCCGAUUUUUAGAGAAAAUGGGUUCUGAUAAUUUGGAGUUCGGUCGUGAGGUAAACAUCACCUUACCAAGAAUUGAGAAGAGAAUAAAAUAAAAUAUAAUAACAUGAAUCUAACUGAAAAAUGAGGAGAUUGAAACUCCGAAAGCAACGUCUGCAUGUUGAAAGGAGACCACUUUCUAUACACACACAAUGGUGUUCAGACGGGUACAGACUUGCCAAUCUAUUUAUUAUGACCAACUAAACAAACAUACGAUUUUUAAACGUUAUCUAUGCGGACAGACUCUGGACCAUUGUUCAAGUCACAUGACUUUUAAACGUUAUCAAUUUGGUGCGCUUUUAAUCGAUUUUGAGGCUAAAAGACAUCCCAAUCGUAAGAUAAAAGAGUAUUUAGUUUGGUUUGGUUCAGUUGAUUUUUAAAAUAAAAUUUAAACCAAACCAAACCAAUAUGAUUUGAGUUGUAUUGGUUGAUGCGGUUUUUUUGAGACAAUACAAUUUUUUGUUUCCAACAUUAAAAUCGAGUUAAAAAGCUAUAACACAACAUAUUUUCAAUAAUGUUUGAAACAAUGUUUUCAAUUUCAUCCAACAUUACAAUUUUAUUUUCACAAAACAAAAUAGACGAAAUUUAAAAUGUGGACAAAAAGUAAUCCUAUUAUUUAAUAAAUGUAAAAGAUUAAGAUUUAUUAUUCUUAAAAUUUUAUUUUAUAAUUUUUUUAAUUUUUGAAAUAGAAAGCAAAGAAGAAACUUAACGUACAAGGGAAAAAAAUAUGCCGUUUUAUAAAAGUUUUUAUUGAGUUUCUAUGAGUAUUGGUGUAGGUGACAUAGGUUUAAUUUGGUUAGGUGACAUAGUUUCUAUGAGUAUGUCGUUUUACAAAAUAGUUUUUUUGCAUUUUUUGGUAUAUAAGAAGAAACAUAAACUAGUAUACAUAUGAUUUUUUGACAAAAUGGAUCCUUCACAUGAUAAUGGAAUUCAAGAUACUGUGAAAGAAUUCUUAUUCACCCAACUUAACAUAUUUAAACUUGUAGGAUUUAUAUUAUAAAGUUAAUAUACAUGCCAUAUAAUUAUCCAAUAUGCAUAUAUUCAAAACACUUAAAAUUAGCAAGAAUCACUAUUUAAGUUCAGGAACUCUUGCUGAAGAUGACUUCACUUACAUCAGAACUUAAAUUCAAUAGGGGAAGAUCAAUUAAUUAUCGUUGAACUGAAUUGCAUAAAAAAGUUACUUAAAUUGAUUUUGUUUAAGCAAAACCUCCUUGAUCACUUUGUCCAAGUUCAUGUAUGAACAACCUCCAGCUCUCGUGUUUUCCUCCACUUUCUUCUUCAACUCAAUUGCCUUUUGCCGCAUCUUCUUUCCUUUCUCUCCUGACAUCAAUUCAUUGACAAGUUUCUCCACCUCUUCUCUCUUUACAUUCGUAUCGAUUUCCAUCCCAAUCUCCCAUUCAUUGUAAAUAAGUCUACAGUUUGUUGGCUGAUCACCAAAGAAUGGCCAACACAACAUUGGAACUCCAGCACAUAUGCUUUCAGUGGUUGAGUUCCAUCCGCAAUGAGUCAAGAAUCCGCCAAUUGAAGGGUGGUUCAAUACUUUCUCCUGUGGACACCAACUUGCAAUUAAGCCUCUAUCUGAAAUUUCAUUCACAAACUCAGAUGACAAAACGACUGAGCCACCAAUGACAAGGUCAGGCCUAAUGAUCCACAAAAAGGGUUUAUUGCAAUUGGCCAACCCCCAAGCAAAUUCCAACAGUUGUUUUGGUGUCAUAACUGUAAUGCUUCCAAAAUUCACAUAAACAACGGAUCCCGGCUCCUUGGAUUCAAGCCAUUCAAGACACUUAGUAUCUUCUUUCCAAAGGUUGGAACCUAAAGAAUCCAAUUGAUGAAUUUGUGGAGUUUGGUUUAAUAAUGAAGGUAAAGGGCCAAUGGGGUAAAGAGAAGGAAACAUAGAGGAGAGAGCAUUUAUUACAUCACUCUAAAGUUCAUGGAAAGUAUUCAAAACAAUUGUAGAGUCUCCAAGAACUUUAUCAGCCGCAUCAAUUACAAAGUCUAACAUAAUAUCAUUUGGAUCUGUUGUCCUGAUACUGUCAAAGAUAUCCUUUAACCGAAAGUUUUUCAAACCUGGAAUCCAAUCUACAUUAGUUUCCAAAUAUCCAUUUGUUAGAUAGCUCUGAUCUGCAUAUCAAAUGUAUCAGUUAAUAUCUUGAAGGUUAUACAUACAUCCGUACAUACAUGAGUAUUUUGUUUUCGACAAAAACAUACAUAUAUAAUAAGGUAUUAUAAAUUGAAUAAAAGUCAUUUAUUGAUGUAUAAAUUUUAAUUUUGAAGUUUUAUGAAAUUUGUGGAGUUCCUCUAUUCAAUAAGAGUUUUUAAUUUGAUGGUUGCUUUAUUGAAAUUUAGUGUCUACAUUGAGUUUUAUAUUAACUGAAACUAUAUCAAGUGUUACUCUUGGAGUAAGUUGAUUAUCUCGCACACGACCAUUUAUAUAGAUUUAAUUCAUAUAUAGAGUCAAAGUAAAAGUUUUUUACACCGUCAAUAAAUCAUAAGUGUCAGAAUAGUGUAGCAAAAUUAAUAUUAAUCUCUCUAUAAAUAUAUACUUUAUGAAGAAAAAAACUUAACUUAGUACCUUUGAGUGGCGUGAGACCUUUUUCUACAAAGGAACGUAAGUGGUGAAUACUCAGUAACAAACUUGCACUGGAUGGAAAGAAGAUAACAAUUGGUAGUGCAAAUUCUUCAGCAGCUUGUAUAGUAAAGCUCAUAAAAUAAUCAGAAACUAAGCAAGUAACUGGUGGAACAUUGGCAGAGUCAUUAAGUCUUGUAAGAAGUUCACAAAAAGGUUUAAGGAAAUUUUUUCUUAUAGAUUGAGCAAGAGAAGGUACAUCUUGACUAACAUCACCAUCACCUUCUAUCGGUGUUAGACCAUCUGGUAUGGUUUCAAAGCAAAAACCACGGGAACCAUCUAAGGCAUUUGGACCUCUUGAUUUUAGCAAUCGUUUAUGAUUGUAUUCAGUGUUGACAAAGGUUAUAUGAAAUCCUCUAAGGUGAAGAAGUUUUGCAAGUUUGAACAAUGGAUUUAUAUGUCCUUGAAAUGGAGCUGGAAUCAACACAGCAUGUGGUUUUCUGUUUGCAAAACUUCCCAUCUUUGAAAUUUUUCUGUUUGUAUGUUAUUUGUGCAAGAUAUGAGGUUGAAAAACAAGUGAUAGGCAUGUGCUUUUAUAGAGAGAAAAAAGGACAAUGCUACAAAAUUGAAAAAUAUAAAGAAAUCCAAACAGAUAAAUUCUGGGAGGUUCUAACAAAAGGAAAUAAGUUCAUUGUAUGAAAAGACAGACACAUAAAAAGACACCAAAAAUGACACUGACACGUUAACGUCAAUGAUAAUUUGAGAAAUAAAUUAAUUCAAUGUAAUUACAAUGUGUCUGACAUAAAAUUGAAAUCUUAUACAGGUAUGUUCUUGUAAACUUUCCUAUAUGACUCAUUAUAUUGAUUGAAUAUGUUUGUUGGUAUUUGGUUUAACCAAUCAAUGUGGCAUUAACAAUUCAACUGUUACUUGUUACUUAGAUGUCGUUUGAGAUUUAUUUGGGAAUUGAUAAAAUAGAAAAGUUGAGAAAAACUUUAUAUUGUGAUCCUAAAAUCACUAAUAUAACCAAAUUGAAUCUAACCAUAUCUAACUAUCUUCCAAAAUAUUAAACUAAUUUUAACAAAUCUGAAACUACAUCUAACACAUACUUGCAUGGAAUUGCAACCAUUCAGUAGAAAGAUAUUAUCAAACAAAAUCUUCAUAUGCUUGUGGACCAACUCUAUACGUUUCAGUUUCAAAAUUGAACUAGAAGGCACUUCUAUUCAAGUAAGUAUAAGAUAGUUCUGACAUCAAAGAUUUUUGUUGUACAAAGAAAAUAAUUAUGUCCACUUAUUUAUUUUAUAAUAGUCUAUUGGCUAUUAUUUUCCAUGCUUGAAUCAGUCAGACAUUAGACAUCACAAAAAAAAUAUUAGUCCCUUUCAACAAGGGCUCAUGAUUAUCUCCAAAAGUUACAAUUGCAUAAAAGUCAAAUUCACUUUUAUUGUGCAGAAUAGUGACUAGUGGAUAUGUUGUCUUCAUUAUCAAUGGUACCUUCCAUAAGGGCUUUGUGUCCUCUAAUUUUUUUACUAGUCUUUAUUUAUGCAUGUAUUAUAAUCCUUUAUCAUGUCUAUGAGAUAUGGGCUCAAUGGUAAAAAUUUCAGCCAGUAAUCUCAAAGGACAAAGUUCAAACUCCCUUGAUAACAGUGGUAAAAUGGUCAUUGUUGUAACUUUAAUUAAUAAUUCUUAUUUUCACUAAUAAGAAUGUUAAAAUAUGUCUUGAAAUCUCAUGUUAAAAGUUUUUUUUCUUUUCGGUUUGAUUAUUGUCCCCAUGCGCUGGGCGAAGCUGUUUGCUGUUUUCAUCAUGUUGCUAUUUUGUUGCUUGGAUGAGGCGAUAUAGCUAAAUGAGUCAUAGGUGUGCGUCAAGAUCUAUAGAUAAGCAAUUUUUGCAUCAGUUUUCAGGGUGAAAAUGUGUGAAUUUUAGGGUUACAAAAGAGGGAAUUUUUAGGGUUAAAAGUUGAGAGCUUUUGGAAAAAUUAUAGGAUUAGGAAACAUUUUUGUACAUCUUGGAAAUAAAGCAUCGAGUCUUUUGUCCAUCGGAAGAGAAUUGGGAAAAUUGUAACCCUUGUAUUUCUUUGUAAGAAACUCUUUGUUAGUGGUAAGCCAGAUUUGGGUCGAACUGGAUAACUUUGUUUUGGUUGUUGCUAAUAUUUCUCCACACUUCAAAGUAUUGAUGUGAGUUUUUACAAAUUCACAACAACUGGAACCCACCGUGGGAGAAAUAAGAGGUAACUUUUUCAAGUGUGCAACAUGGGUACCAACUGGGAUAUCAAUAAAUUUAUCGGAGACAACGAUUUGGGGCUGUGAAAAGUGAAGAUGAAAGAUGUGUUGAUUCAACAAAAGUUUGCAGAAGCACUGAAGGAUGAGGUUGCUCUCCCAGCUACCAUGUUACAAGCAAACAAGACCGAGAUGGUGGACAAGGCCAUGAGUGUCAUUGUCUUGUGCCACACUGAUAAAGGUUUUAGAGAAAUCGUAAAGGAGCAAUUGACGAGUCCUACAAAAUCCUUGAUGAUUUGACAACUAUUAAAGUGGAUAUUGAGGAUGAAGACACGGAUAUACUCUUAUUAUUAUGAGCAUUAGCUAGAUCCUUUGAGAACUUCAAGGAUACUAUGCUUUAUGGUAAAGAAGUCAUUGUCACUUCGAGGAAGUCCAAGAGGCACAUAACCAAGUCCAAGAACUUGAAAGUUGAUGAUAGUGGUGAAGACAUGAGUGUCUAAAGAGGAAGACGUAUAAGUUGAUGAAAUCGAGGAAGCUCAAUUGAUGGUGCAAGUUGAAGUACAAAUACUCCAAGUGUCAAACGACCGGUCACUUCAAUAAGGACAUUCCCAAGUUAGAGGACAUUAAUGAUUCCGCACAAUUUGCAUUUGCAACAUCAGUGAAUGUUUUUGAAUGUUCACGGAAAGAACCUUUAAUUUCAAAUCAAUCUAUGCAACAAGAAGCUGAUAGUGUAGUGCAGAGAAGUAUGCUUUUGAAGUAUGAUUUCCAAGACAUCCUUAAUCACUUUGUCCAAGUUCAUGUAUGAAGAAUCACCAGGUCUUGUGUCCUUCUCUGCCUUCUUCUUCUUCAACUCCACGGCCUUUUGCCUCAUCUUUUUUCCUUUCUGUCCCACCAUUAAUUCAUUCAUCAGCUUCUCCACCUCCUCUCUCUUCACAUUUGUAUCAAUUUCGAUUCCGAUCUCCAACUUAUUACAAAUAUAUCUGCAGUAUGUUGGCUGCUCAGAAAAAAAAGGCCAACAUAACAUUGGUACUCUGGCACAAAUGCUUUCCAAUGUGGAGUUCCAUCCACAAUGAGUCAAGAAUCGUCCAACUGAAGGGUGGUUCAACACUUGCUCUUGCGGACACCAGCUUGCUAUUUGGCCUCUAUCCGAAGUUCCAUUCACAAACUCGGAUGACAAAAUAACUGAGCCACCAAUGACAAGCUAAGGCCUAAUGAUCCACAAAAAAGGUUUCUUGCUGUUGGCAAAACCUCAAGAGAACUCUAACUGCUCUGGAGUCAUAACCAUAGUGCUUCCAAAAUUCACAUAAACUACAGAACCUUGUUCCUUAGAUUCAAGACAUUUCAUAUCUUCUUUCCAAAGAUUGGAACCUAAAGAAGCCAAGUGCUUUUGGGGAUUUUGAUUCAAAAACGAAGAUAAAGGGCCAAUGGCGUAAAUAGAAGGGAUCUUAAUAGAUAGAGCCUUUACUACAUCACUCUCAAGUUCAUUAUAAGUAUUGAAAACAAUAGCGUUAGCUUCAUGAACCAUAUCGUCCGCUUCAAUGAUAAAAUUUAUCAUUAGGAUCAGUAGUUCUUAUAAAAUCAAGCAGGUCCUUUAGUCUAAUGUUUCGCAAACCUGGAAUCCAGUCAACUUUAGUGACCAAAUAUCCAUUUGUCAGAUAACUCAUCUGCAUAUUAUAAUCACAAAAUCCAUUAGCUUAAAGUUAAAACUCUGAACCCCUAAUAUAUAUCAUAUUAAUUCUAAUACUACAUUCUAUGUUGUAUACAUACUCUCAGUUUCUCCAAAGGAAGAACUUCCAUAGUAAAACUAAACUAUAGUAAUGAAACUCUUCACUUCUGCAUAAUAGUCCUACACUAUCGAUAAAGAAAGAACAUAAAUGAUUACCUUUGAGGGGUAUGACACCUUUAUCAAUAAAUGUACGAAAGAGCAAAGCACACAAAAGUGAGGAUGCACUAGCAGGAAUAAUUCAAUAUCAGAAACUAAGCAACUAACAGGAGGAAUAAGAUCAUCAUUGGAAGAAUCUUUUAAGUUUAGCAAGAAGUUCACAAAAAGGGUGAUAGAAAUUCUUUCUUAUUGAAUCAUCAAGAGAGACAAUUUCUUGACUAAUAUCACCAUAACCUUCUGUCGGAGUUAAACCAUCUGGAAUAGUCUCAAAGGUAAAAUCAGUGAAACCAUCAAAGGCUUUUGGACCUCUUGAUUUGAGCAAAUGUUUGUGAUUUCGGUGUUGACAAAGGUUAUGUGAAAGCCUCUAAGGUGAAGAAGUUUUGCUAGUUUCAAUAAUGGAUUGAUAUGGCCUUGAAGUGGAUAUGGA